AACCAUCCUGGUCAAAUUACUCAAAUCCUGACCAGGCAUGUUAGAGAAAUUGGAUUUGGGCAUAAUUGACACCUCUUAAUUCCUAGGCUUGGAAAUCCUCGGAUUACUAGGUGCUUCUAUCAUUUUACUAGAGAUAGAAUAGGAUAUAUAGGUCAGAUAACUCUUGCAAUAGUCAUUCGCCGCUUGAGUCUGUGCAGUUAUGCUGUAGUUUGACUGGAAAAUUCAGGGAUUGACGGCUAAACUCAGAGGAUUAUUGUGUUUAUGUUUGUUCUUGAGAUUGGACAUAUUCUCAUGCUUCCUAUCAAAUCCAAAUUCAUCCAUAAUAUUUUUCAUGGGGGCAAGAUUCCUCCAUAAUGUGAGCAAUGAGACUCCAACUUAUCAGAGCCGUUAGCCUUGAAGUCUAUGCACUGGUUUCUGUUAUAUUACAGCAUUCUUUGCCUCUGCUAUUUCUACUCUUCUCAGUAACAUGUUUGAGUUAUGAACUCUGCUGCUGUUUUAUGCCUUUCGUCUACUGUUCAGGUAGCAUCUAGACCACAGGAGUAACAUGAAUUUAAAUUUAUCUAUCCUAUUAAUUUGUGUUUCUAAUCAGAGUUACCCAUCAGGGCUUUUUAAGCUGAUUAUAGAUGGGAACUCUGGAAUCCUGUCUGUAGCCUUAUCAUAUCUGUGUCAUUAAACGUUUUGUGUUUAAUGAAGAAAUUCAGCUGAAAUCAAUAUGAGAAAUAUUUAUCUGCAUUUUAAAAGAUGAUUUAUGAGAAAUAUUUAUCUACAGAUAAUUAUUGCUUCUUAAACAAGCACACCACAAAUAUAAAUUAAUCAUCAAAUUGAAUCUCAGGAAACUUUAUUUUACCAUGGAGAGGUAUAUUAGCUAAAUGGUAAUGUGAAUUUUCUUGGCUGCUGAGUUCAAUUAAAAUUUCUCAUUUUUUUGUGUUCCAAAAUGUUCUUCCAUGCAACAUAAGUUUAUGAGAUUCUUAUGCCUAUAUCAAGAAAUUCUGUCCUUGGGGAAAUGCGAAAAACUAGUUGCUUGCGAGGACAACAAUUUGUACUAAACUAGCAAAGAAGAAAAGUUUACAUGUUAAAGCAAUGAAGUUGAAUUUCAUUUUGUGUUUACGAAUAUGAUUAAACAGUGGAUGGUGCUUUUGCACCCAAAAAUUACUAAGCGGUGGAAGAAAUUCUUUGUGUGUUCUUUGGUCAAUGAUACUAGUAAACAAGUUUAACUUGUCUUUUUUCUUGGGUUUAAUUAUAAUAGCUCACUUAAUGGUUUUGGGACCUACUAGAUAUUUCGAGUAAGAUUGGGAUAUUCAAACAUGAAACAAUCAAUAAGAGACAAAAUAAAUAAAUUAAUAAGAGUACAAUUUCAUUGUCUAAAUGAGCACACUUUCUAGGAACAAUUUCACCAUGUAAUAUUGAAGUUAGUCAUCUCUCUUUUAUUUUGUUGCAAGUGUGGUAAUUCAAAGAAAUAGAUAAAUAAAAGUACCGUAAAUAUAAUAUCACCCAUCGAUGAGAGUCUUUUUUCCUAGAAAUGUAGGUGAAAUAUAACGGUAGUUAUUCUUAAAAUUAGAACAGAUCCUUUUUUGGUUUUUUUUUUUCAAAAAUUAUCGUAGCAUUUUUAUUGGUAAAUAUAACUUCAAGAUAAAUAAAUGAUUGAAACUUUUCAAGAAUAUAUUAUCAAAAAAACAAUGUGAAACAAAGGAAACCCUAGUGUAUGAAAAGAAUCAUGAACUCAUUGUGGGCGUGUCCAUAGAGUAAUUCACAAGCCAAUAUCUGGCCAACACAUAAACGCACGCAUGAACACAUAAAUCCAAACCAAAAGUUUAGAAACCUGUCCACUUUUUCUCAUGAUUUUAUCAUCAAGACAACAUUAACUGAUUGUGUUAUUUCUUGGUUUUUUUUUUUUUUAUCUGAAAACACAUUCUACUUUCUCAUACUAUCAAGUUAUUAAUAAUUAUGGGACGAAAGGAACAUGCUCAAUAAAGUGGAUAGAAAGGUCUGUCAACGAAUCAAAUACUGACCACUAAACGUGAAAGAUCUGUCAGAAUUGCUGGCCUGCCCAGUUCACAUUUCAGCAAAUGCUAGCCACUAAAUGUGAAAGAUCUCUCAAAAUUGCUGGCCUGCUCAGUUCACAUUUCAGCAAAUUGUGAUGUAGAAAUCAAGAGAUUCAGUUUUUUUUUUUACAAGAAAACUCGCAACUGCUAUCCGAGAGUGCACGUUGGGUAAAUCCCGUCCUGUGCAAUAGCCCACCAAUCAAACGGAGGAGUAAGACGUAUUAGGCAAAUCCUGUGUAACGGAUAGAUGUCCCAAUAGAGGUUCGAACUCGGAUUGGUAGGAAGACAUGACAUUAACUCUACUAUUUCGACCAAGUCAAGGGACAUCAAGAGAUUCAGUCUAACACAAAGUGGUCAUGAAAACAACCGCACACCUUCAUUGUCAUCUUGCUGGAAAGUCUCGAAGAAAAACAAGAAGAAUUGGUUCAGUGGGGACUUUAGUCCAAAUAUUUCUUUAAUUGUGAGACUCACGGGCUAUCACAAUUGAAGUGGCGGUGUCAUCUUUUCCAGCACAUGCAUCCAUGGGCAGAACAGAUAUGGAGGUUUUGUUCUUUUUUGUUAGGUUAUCAAUUAUUUGUUUCAGUUUUACGUAAGCAAUGAUGUCAUCUGAGUACCUUAAUUUCUUCCUCAAUCUAUUAUUGUGUGAGGAAACGAGACCGACUACUUCUCUAGAAGGAACAGAUAUAGCUGUUUUAUGCGUUAAGAAGAAGAAAAAGAAAAACGUCUUUGAAGAUGAAAAGUAAUUUUUUUUUGUCAAAAAAUAAUUGCUUCCAUAUAAAAUUUAACGCCAAAUAUUGUUUUGAGUUGCUCAAUAUAUUUUUUUUUUUUUGGACAAACCCGUAUAUUGGGGAUGAAGGCCAGACUAUGUUUUGUUAAAGUCUUGAAUAGAUAAAAGUUGAAUUAGGAGUUGCAUGCAAGUUUUGAACUUUCUUUCGGUUGGUUCUACUUUGGGUCUAUACACAAAUUUCAAAGCUGAAAGAGUUGCUUUAAUAAGCAGCACCAAGGUAUAUUUUAAGGAAACUCGAGUGCCAAAUACAGCAUUUGCUGAAUAUCUCUAAUUUUAAUUGUAAUACUACACAUUCAACUUUCUAGUACAAUUUUACACAAUUCUACUCAUUUUAUCAACUUUCUAGUACAAUUUUACACAAUUCUACUCAUUCAGGCUAGUAUUAUAUGAAUAAAAAGUAAUAAUUCGUAACAGGUCAAUUUUUUUGUAUACACUCACAUUUAUUGUAUCUUGUAUUUAAAUAGUUUCAUGAUUUAAUGUAGUUUUUCAAAUAAACACUAUCUAACCAAUGGCCAUUGGAUUCUUUCAUCCGCACCUUAUAUGAAAUUUUAAACAAUAUUGUCCUUUUGAAUUUCGCCAAUAGUUUUGUUUUGGACAGGAGAUUAUCUGAAAUAUUAUUUGGAAUAAUUACUGUAUCAUUUUUUGUGAUGUGAUGUAUGUGAGAUAAAAAGGUGAUUGAGAAGAUAAAAAGGUGUGUUGAAAAUUGCAAACAAAUAAUUUUUGACCAAAUAAUGGCUAUCCAAACAAACUUGAGGCUUUGAUAGAAUGGAAAUGUUUUUGUUUGAGUUCUAGAAAAUAGAAAACAGACUAAACGGACCAUAGUCGAGGUAUACACGUAAUGCAUAGGUUAAAUUCAGAGGAUCCAUCAGAAAAAUGCAAUUAAGGGAACCCUGCCAAGCUGCCACUUCAGUGUUCAUAAAUUUGCUCAUUCAUCUCAAUUAUUUGCUGCAAGAAUUGAUUUUUUUUUUUUGGGAUUUUUGUCUUUUUCUUAUUGUCCUACCAGUUUUUGAGUGAAUUCAUUUCCAAGGGUCAAUUGAACAUUGUUAAAAUCUAACUUUGUAGCUUGUCAAGUCAGCACAGAAAAAAGUGACUUCCUUUAGGGAGAACAAGAAUCCGUAGGCCAAAGGUAAACAAUCCAGGCACAUGUAAACAAAGGAUCUUAAUCUAAGCUAACACAAUUAACCAAAUCAACCAAUAGAAAAUUCCUAAUUGUAGAGCCUUAUCUUUAACUAUCAUCUGAUUUCUAGUUUAGUCCCUAAAUUCUAGAUUGGAACAAUUUAGUCCCCAAAUUAUACUUUGAUUCCCACGUUGAUCUCUAAAUUCCGAAUCGGGACAAUUUAAUCGCCUAACUAUACUACGAUUCUCAAUUUGGUCCCUAAACUUAUUUGUUCCCUCUAAUCUUAGGAUUUUCUUUUGGGUUAUCGUUUAAUCCUUGUUACUGCUCACUUGACUUGUGUUUCGUUAGUUUUGGGAAUUCCAUUAAAUAAUUGUCUUUAGUUGGGAUGAUAUAUGUAAUUUAGAGGCUAAAGUGUCCCAAUUUCUAGUCGAGAGACUAAAGUGAAAAUUGAGGUAUAAUUGAAGGAUGCAAAACAGAAUUAACGCAAUCUUUUAGCUCGGAGUUGAAUGAUUACAAUGAUCCGACAUUGCUGUUGUAUUGCACGUGAUACAUCUGUUCUUGGUAGAAGCUUUUCUUAAGCAAUGGAUUAUUUAAUUAAUUAACUCAUACCAGUCAGUAUCAGGAAAGCAACAAAGAUAGGGGAUUCAAAUUAAAGGGGAAAACAACAAAGAUGAUAACAAUUAAUGGCACAAAUGUCCAUAAAAAUGACUAAUAUAUUAAUCAAUAGACAGCUUAGGGAAAAACAAACAAAUUAAGGACCGCAAGAGAGAAGAAAAGGGAAAACAAGGCCAUUGGAGUUAGUAAAUGAUUUGAAUGAUCCAAUGUAUGUUCUUACAACACUUGGAAUAGGUUCCCAAUGUUUGGAAAUUGAACUAUUUUUGUCACUAAAGUUUCACUGAAAUAUAUGUAGUACCCAUAAUUUUAAUUUUGACCAAUUAGUAUAAUUGAUGCCAUUGUCCUACACCACAUCCAUUAAUAAAACAAGAAAAAGUACGGAAUAUUGCUAAUUUAAUUCCCUCAAGUUUUUAUCUAAAGUAUCUUUAUUUUGUGAUCUUUUAUUUUAUCCUAUUUAGUCCUUUCACCUUUUUUUUUCUAAUGCUAAAAUAGUCCUUUAUUCACUAAAUCCACCAGUGAACUUUUUCCAACUCGAAAUCCAGCGUCGUGAAAGGGUGUGAUCAAAACUAAUAAAUGAUUCUCUUUCCAAAAAAAAAAAACUUUACUUUCUUCUUAUUUGUCUUUUUAUAUGCUAUGUAGUUUCUUUCUUUCUUUUUUUUUUUUUUUUUACUUUCUUCAACUAUUUUUGCUACUUUCUUUUGAAACUACAUAAUUAACGAGUUUAACACACUAACAAUGUUAUAUUAUUAAAAUGAUAAAGUAUAUUAUUUCAAAUUUAAAAUUUGAUGCAAGAGGCUUAAAUCUUCCCCUAUAGUUUUAUUCUUGAUGAAAAUUACAUAUUUACCCUUGCAUGUGCAUGGGGUUGGGUACCUGCGUUCCGGCCUGCUCUCAUACUCUAUUCAACAACGUGUACGGUUAUGAUCAAAGCUUCAAAUACUCUCUUUUGAAAAAUAAUAAUUCUCAAUUAUUUUUUUAAUAUCUCUUCCUUUUCUUUUUUUUUUGAAAAAAAUUUCUUGAACUAUUUCUCAUAAAUGAAGAAAUCAUAUAAAAAAAUAAAAUGCAAAAGUAGUUGAUGAAAGUACCAAAGCAAAUUACAUAAAAAACAAAAAGAUGAGAAGAAAGUAGAAUUUAUUUUUUUCUUUGAAAGAGAAUAGUUGAAGUUUUAUUUAUACCCUUUAACACCAUAGGUUUGGAGGAAAAAGUUUCCGGCCGAGGAGGAACAAUUUUGUUACUAGAAAUAAAGUGAAAGGACUAAAUUGUAUACCUGGAACUAAAGCUUCUUUAGAUUAAAAAGUGCAAGGACUAAUAGAGCUAUUUGCACCACUUUUUCUUGUUUUAGUAACAUGAGUGUUGGUAGAUAAGGUCCAAGUGGAAGCAAAUAGCGUCAAUUGUCUCAAACUUCUUCAAAAAGAGAUAUUGUAGGUACUAAAUGUGUUUCCAGUGAAACUUUAGAUAUGAAAAUGGCCUAAAUCCCAAAUAUUGGGGGACAAAAAACGUUAUUUUCCUAACACAUAAUUUAUUAGAAAUUUGUUGCACAAAUUUAAAGCAUGUUUUUUUUAACCUUGUUUUUGUUACAAGUGUGACGAAGCGAAGGAAUAAAGUAAAGUAAUUUACUUUUUCCUUUACGUGUGUUUGUUUUGUAGGAGUCACAAAAUUAUUUGGCACUUUUCCUCAGUUUCCUUUAUUUUCUGUCCUACAAAAUUUAAAAGAUUUUAAAGGAAAAAUGUUACUAGCGAAUAAAAUUCUCCAAUACUGCCACUAACCAUCUAUUUUCUCUUGUUUCCUUGUCAAACAAACAUGAACAGGAAGAUAUAUUUUCUUUCUUUUACCUCACUUUCUCAGGUAGUAAUCCAUCUAGUCAAAAUAGAGUCCAUGCUUCGAAAAUUUAAAAGCUAGUAUUUUCAAAAACACUACAAUCAGUGGAGAUGUAGAAAAUAAAGAUCGAAGAUGCAAAAUUGGUACAUUCGUAAAACAAUUGAGAGGCCACAUUAAAAUUCUCUUAAGUAUCUUUAUGAAAUUAUUCAACCAUAAUUAAAGAAAUUCUUUACAAAAAAUAAGGAAGGAAGUAACUAAACAUCUUGGCAGAUAUACCCCAACUUAGAACUCAAAAUUAAAAUAAAUAAACUGGUCUAUUUUCCCUUUACAAUUUUGGUUUUUUCCAGCUUCAAAAAGCCAACAGAAACUGAGGAAACUGGUUGUUGAGAAUAUCACAUAACAAAUUGCUCUACACCGCAAGCUAAAACAAGGUUUAAAAAGCUGAGAAGAAUUACAUGAAAUUUUGACAUUGAACUUCAGAUGUUACAUAAAAUAUCAUGCGGUCAUCCAAAUUUGCUCCAUUGCCAUGUCUUAGAGCUAUAGAUAUUGGUAUCUUUGUCUACGGCUAGUAAUAAUGGUCUCCGUCACAAUUGAUUGUGGAGUAUUCAAGUCGCAUUCAUCAACUACAAGGGCCUUUACACUUGGAGAAUGGAGGCAGGGCAAGAGAGUUAGGAUAGGAUGGGGAUAGUAGAUGCAUGCUGAGGAUAUUUGGUAUCACAUUUCAAUUUACUUUUUCCAAUUGUGCAUGCUCUUAAUAAAGUGAAAAUGAUAGUAAUUAUCUGUCCAAAAAUUAUUUACUUACAUCACAAGCACAUCGUCCAAUACAAAAUUUUAUUUUUUCAAUCACUUUUUUAUCUUAUAUAUAUUACAUUAACAGAAGUACUAUAAUAAUUAUUUCAAAUAAUCUACUAUCCAAAUAGUAGAAAAUCCAACACAACGUGAUGGAGUACUAUAGGGGAAGGAAUUUAUACGUUGUCAUUGAGUUGCCAAACAUGGCUAAUUAAUUGCCUUGCUAACUGUGUGAUUAAGGAUGAUAUAGUGGAAAUGACUCCCAAAAGAAUUUCUCGAAGAAUUUGAGCUAGUCUUUGACUGCAUAAAGAACUAAGACAUGUUCUAGUAAGUUGCAGUCAAGGACAUGUUACUAAUUGACAAAGUUCUAGAAAGGCUACUAAUUAUAUACUUGAUCCUUCUAUAAGAUUUUAGGGAUUGCUCAAAAGAAAAGAAGGUAUUAUGUGAAAAUUAAUUAAAUGUGCUUUUAAGAAUGACCUAAAUGGAAUUUCUUCAAUGUAAACAUCCAACUUAUUAACAUAUUGUACUAAUGGACCAUUGAACUGCGCAAAUCUUUUGUAAAUAUAUUCUAAGAUUGUGUCAAGGCUCGCCAUUGUAAGUCUACUGCAUUAAAUACAUUAAAUAGAGUAAAUGGUACGAAAGGUCAUUAACUUUUCUAAAAUUGCACUAUUUGGUCAUCAAAAAAUUUUCUUUUGUAGCCAAAAAUGACACCGAACUCAUAAAAGCAUGAUUUUUAAGUCACUGCAUUGAAUUUUAGUAUUAAAACAGCCGGACUGUACACACAUAAUAGUACGCUUAGGUAUUUAGGGGUAAAGAUCUCUUAUAACAUUCAGCGCAAGGUUUUCUCUCACAAACUGUUCUAGAAAUGUUAGAAGUAACUUCUUACCUUAUUAUAAAACCUAAUUGGAAGAUAUAAAGGAGCCUUCUAAUUAGGUUUUAUGAUAAGGUAUAUAGCAAAUUAUUUUUAAUUUUAUUGAUGCAAUUUGCGAUAGAAAAUUCUGCGCUAAAAGUUAUAAGGCAUUUUUGCUCUCGAAAAUCUAAUCAUGCUUGUAAUGUGGAUGCAUUUCCAAAUGUUUCAACACCGAAAUUGACAGGAUGACCAAAAAAUUACUUUUUACAAGUUCAAUGACCUUUUUGGUGAAGAAAAAAAAAACUUCCAAACAGUGCAAUAUUAAAAUGUUGAGAUAUAUUUUGAACCAUUUAUUACUUAUGGCUUAUGACCAUUAACCUUUUGAAAUGCAUCAUUGUGCUAAUAUGCACUUAUUGUAAAGCUUGGGGCCCUUGCCCUUAUACUGUAUAGUUUUGCUAAAGAUAUAAAAUCUCCUGACAUUUUGGUUAAAAAAAACAUAGAUGGAAAUUGAAAUACACUGGAACUAAAAGAUUCCUCCUAGAUUGAACUGUUUAUUAGAUUUCGAAAAGACAAAGGAAUAUUGACAACCAAAAUGAAAUUACAUCUUGGCAUCUAUGUAGACUACGAACAUGUUCAGAAAUUUGACCUUUAUUCAUUGAACUGUCCAAAUAGAUGGGUUAUAAUUCGAGAAUCCAAAGAAAAUAGUGAGGCAAAUUGACAGAAAACCUUUGUGAGAUUCCAUUUUAGAGUUCUAUAAUAAUCGUCAUAUCCCCAAAAAAAAAAAAAACUAAAAACAAAAGGGAAAGCAUACUGCGAGAAAUUCGUGUUCGCAAAAUGAAGCAGUAGAUGCAGUUCACUUGGCUUUUUGCAAACUUAAAAAGGGUCUGUUAAUCUGUACAAGGAAAAAUUUUCUUUUGAAAGCAUUAAAUGAACAAAGUAAUUUUACAACUUAAUAAUUUGAAAAUUUUACGUAAGUAGAUUAUUUCACCUAUUAUCUUGUAAAAUAUUAACUCAAAAUCAUCGUAUUGAUUGUUUGUUUAUGGAUUUUUUUGACCAAGAAGAAUGAAAAGAUUUCAUUCAAGUAAAACAUUUCUACUGAUGUGCUUAAGAAAUGAUGGAUUUUACUCACGAUACUAUUUUGGAAAGUGGUCUUCCUCCACGCAAAUUCAAUAAUUCAACAAUAUUCUAACUGUUAACCCAUAAAUAUAGGAUGAACAUUAACACUUAAUCAGAACAAACUCAAAUACACUGUGAUUUGAAUUCCAAAUCCAAUUUCUGCAAUAUCUACUUUGGUUAUUUUACCGCUAGAUAAAAGCCAAAGACGUGAUUUGGAUUGCAUUUUCUAAAUUUUUUUUAAUAAAAAAUUGCUAUAACACUUUUGAGAAUAUAUUAUAUGAGAUAAAAAAUAGUAUUUAAAAACAUGUAAAAUAAAUAUUGAUGAAAAAUGAAAAAUUUAUGGCAUGCAAAUUCAGAUGCUAGAGUUGCUAGCUACUAUAAAUAAAGAUAACUGGUAUUUUUCUUUUCUUGUCUUUUUUGUUUAAUUUUUUUUUACUUUCGGUGCGAAAAAGACUUCCCUAUUAUCUUGAAAUGACACUAUGAUUUGAUUCACGGAGACAGUUUAAUUAUGCAUAAACCUACUAAAUGACAAAGAAGCAAAAGGCAUAAGUCAAGCCGCAAAAAAUAUGUCCCACCCACGAUGUCCUUAUGCUUCUUAUAAUACUCUCUAAUUACUAAUAAUCAGUGGACAAGAUUUGACAGCACUGAUAUCUUCCGAUCUUUUGAAGGCUAUACUUAGCAGUUUGACAGACAUUUGUUAAUCUUUUUUAGCAUGUAACCAUAAUUAAGGAUUGAUUAAUUUUAUAGUUGCACCAAAUAGAGAUGGACUGAAUGGUUACUAGCCAACUACUAGCUCAUUCAGCCACUUUCGAUCUCGAACUCUCGUAGAAUAAUUUAAUUCCAAAUCCCAUUAAUUAUAAUGUCUAAGAAAGCAUGAACAUGCUAUCUUUAAUGUGUUUUCAUUCAAGAACAAAGCUUGUUAAACAUAUAUUUUGGGCAUCCAUUUAGAAUUCUAAGGCACAAAAAUUAGUAGAGCUCUAAUUCUAAUUCUAAUUUUACCACAUGAUAAAACAAUAGUAUUUUCAUACUAUACUAUAACUAUUCUACGUCCUAUAUAUUACAAAAUUCUUUAUUAUAUAUAAGAUGAACCAAGGUAGCACAAAAUUUGUAAUCCAAUUCAAAACCUCGAAAAGUAUGGUGACGAAGACUUUUUUUUUUUUUUUUUUGGGGGGUAAGCUGGUAACGAAGAAGUAAAUCUUAGAUCAGAAUUAUUACCUAUUUAUUCAUCCACUCUUGAACCAAAGAAUCCGAAAAUCCUAAUAUGCCAUGGAGGAUAAGACACAUAAAUAGGUAGAAUGUCUAUGUCUCAAUUAUAUUAGCUUUAGAAUUUUAAUUGGGCUCUCUCAAUUGGACCAAGUGUAAUAUGGAAUUGAUCCAAAAAAACCAUUUACGUAGCCCAGCAAGGUCAAAAUUUCAGCUUUUCUUUUUAAUUUUUUAAUUAUUUUUUAAAUGUUGUAGUUUGGUAAUUAUGUGAACAUAAGAUGCAGUGUAUUAACCGUCAAAAGGUUUUAAAUUAGAAAAAUGUCUAAUUAUAAACUCGCUUGGAACAAGAAUUCACAACAUAAACUCCAUCAAACGAAGCCCGUGACACUGAAACCUCAAUCCAAUUUAGUCUUAACUCAUUGGGAAAAAUGGUUUUAAAUUAAAAAAAUGUCUAAUUAUAGAGGUCAUAAAUGCGAGUUCUUAAGCUUAGAUGAUAAAUUGUACCUCAAUUAACUAAACUAACUAGCAGUUCCUAUUAAGUAACGAUUUCCACCAAUCUCAUUAAUAAAUUUGUUAUCUUUUUCCCUCAAAAAACCAGCAAUUUCAGUUGUGAACUGUGUGAAUUGAGAUGUCAAUUGAGGUAAUUAAUAGCAAUUUGUGAUUAAUCAUGGCAGCAAAUGAAGCAUGUGACAAAUUUGCGGCCACUGGUUUUCAUGCAAACAUGAUCACGUACCUGACCAAAGAGCUAAACUUGCCUUUAGUCAAAGCCUCCAAUACUCUCACAAACUUUGGUGGAACCUCCAGCUUCACACCCCUUAUUGGUGCUCUAAUUGCCGACUCCUUUGCUGGCCGAUUUUGGACUAUCAUUGUGGCUUCCAUCAUUUAUGAACUGGUCUUCUUGAUCUCUACUCUCUGAUAUUUUGCUUUUCAUCAGUCCGUUUGUAUUUUUUUUUUUUUACUCUUAUUGAAACUUACAGAAACAAAAUUAAAAUGGGGUGUUUGUGGAAAACAAAUGACAAUAUAAUUAAAAGUGAGACAGGAAGUGAGAUAGGAAAUGGAAUAAUAAAUUCUUUGCGAGGUGUAGGGGAUGAUAAAACUUUUAGUUUGGCCGGUAGAGUUUCAAACUUUUACUUUAGCAAGUAGAGUUUUUUUUUUGGUGAUAAAAUGAUAAUUUCAUUCAUAAAAGUUUAAAACUGCACUAACAGGCAAACAAAGUGUAUAUUCAUGCAAUAAAAGGUUUAGCCAAAUUUAAAGAGGGAUUCAAGUGAUCCUCGACUCCAUUCACUUGGAAAUUCUAUUUGACAAUAUAUAUAAACAAUACGGCUGUUUAAUUUAAAAUUAGGAAUGUAAAGGUAAUGUGUAGAAAAGGGAGGCGGCAAUGGUACGAGUUAUGUUAAAUUAGUGGUGCAUGUAAAUACAAUUCAAGAUAGAAUUUUCUGAAUUUAAUCAUUCCUAGCUCCCAAAAAAGGAAAUAAGUAUUUGUGUAGGAGUAUAUAAUUUUUAAAAAUUUCCCUUGAUAACUCUUGCAUAAAAACAGAAACUUUUGGACAAACAAUAACUUUAAUACAUGAAAGUAAUUUUUUUUUUUAAUCUUGGGGCAGCUGUCCCUCCAACCAUGCAACUGCAUCACUGAGCUAUGCUUGAAUAGGUGUUAGCAAAAACCACUUCGCUCGUAAUUUCACAAUUCUUUGUCAUGAUAGGGUAUGGUGUGUAUUACUACUUCAGCAGUGCUGCCACAACUACAUCCUCCUCCAUGUCCGACUCAACAAAACUGCAAAGAGGCCUCAAACACUCAGCUUUGGGUCCUAUAUAUUGCUCUCCUCUUGACAUCUUUAGGAACUGGUGGCAUUAGGCCCUGUGUUGUUACCUUUGCUGCUGAUCAAUUUGACAUGAGCAAAUUCGCAGCUGCAUCUAGAAGCUGGAAUUUCUUCAAUUGGUACUAUUUCUGCAUGGGAAUGGCCACACUAUUGGCUCUUACAGUGGUAGUUUAUAUCCAAGAUAAUGUUGGUUGGGGCUGGGGUCUUGGAAUCCCUACAAUUGCCAUGGCUUUAUCUAUUGUAGCUUUUGUUGUUGGCGCCCCUCUUUAUAAAAAGGUGCAACCAGGUGGGAGUCCAUUGAUUAGAUUGGCACAGGUAAUUGUUGCAGCUUUGAAGAAGAGGAAUAUCGUGGCACCAAAUGACCCUAGUCAACUGUAUGAGAACAAGGAGUUAGAUGCUACUAUCUCCUCCAAUGGAAAACUUGUUCACACUAAUCAGUUCAGGUGUGCUAUACACAUUCCCUACUAUGGUAUUAUAGCAAUUUAUCUGAAUACUGAAAUCAGCAGUUACAUGACACAAUAUGUUGGAAAUGGGAAAAAAAGACUUGGAACACAAAAAUGGUGAACAAAGUUAUGACUCACUAAAUCUUCCUCAUAUCGGUUUGCAAUUUCUUGUACUUUAAAAGAACAAAGUAGUUAAUUAGGCUUUCAUGGUGUUUUACAUAUUUUUUCUUUUAUAAAGGAAUCGUCUUACUGGUUUUAUUUAAUUAUUUUCGCUCCUUUCUUUUUCGAUGGGAGUGGAAUUAAGCAAGCUACUUUUUGUCUGGAUUUGGUAUGCUAGAAAACAGCCCAUUUUUUAUUUAAUGUAUCUGUUGAAAGUUCAGGCUUCGAGAAAAGAGUGUUAGGAGCUAAAAUUUCCAUGUAGAUUACAUUAGGAGCUGGAUGCCUGGAGAUAUUUUAUUAGAUCAAAGGUAGACUAUUUGGAAAAUGCACCUGCUAAUAGUAAUCAGGACUACAGACUUUCUAGGUUAACUACAAGCUUACUGUUAACAUACAACUGUAAACCUGUUUAGACUACUCGGUAGAACAUAUCUUCACUAUAUUAAAUGAAUUAAUUUCAUGCUUAAUGGGCUGCUCUGUUAGCAAUUGUGUUGGGACAUUAUGCAAGGGAAAGAAAAUUUCAGAAGAGAAGAAUAUAAUUUCUUCCAAUCCGAUUAGGACCCCUAACUUUAAUUGCAUACAGAGUUGAAAUACUUGGAUAUACUUUUCAUCAAUCAAAGCAAGUUAGACACUAUAACAUACUGAUGCUUUGUUGUUGAAGGUUGAUCUUCUGAAUUAGUUUCUCAUGCUGACAGAAAGUACAUAAUAGUGAACAUAUUCAGACCAGUCAAUUUCUCUGAACCUCAUUGUGCCAAUUUUCUUGUCUGAGACUAAUCUAGAUUUCUGUUGAUAUCUUUCGAUGUUCCACAACAAUUCUUGGUGCCAUUCUGUCCAUAAUUAUAUAUUGCACUCUAUCCCAGGUGGGCUGAUCGAGCAGCUGUAUUGACUGAUGAUGACAUUGAUGAAUCGAACCACCCAAAACUAUGGAGAAUAUCAACAGUACAUAGAAUUGAAGAGCUGAAAUCAGUAAUUCGAGUUUUGCCUAUUUGGGGAGCCGGGAUAUUACUAGUUACUUCCCACUCACAUCUCGGCAGCUUCACCAUCCAACAAGCUCGUAGCAUGAACCGUCAUCUAUCCCACUCCUUUGAGAUUCCUCCAGCAAGCCUGUCCAUCUUCAGUAUCAUUACUGUGCUAGUUGGUCUUGGUUUAUAUGAGCGCCUUUUUGUCCCAUUUGCUCGUCGAUUUACAGAGAAUCCUGCGGGGAUCACAUGCCUACAACGUAUGGGAAUUGGAUUCACGAUCAACAUCCUUGCUACUAUUGUUUCAGCUCUGGUUGAAAUGAAGCGAAAGGCUGUGGCAGCAGAUCAUAAUCUCUUAGACAAGCCAACUGCUACUAUACCAAUAAGUGUCUUUUGGUUGCUUCCACAGUUUUGCCUCCAUGGAAUUGCAGAGGUUUUCCAUUCUGUUGGGCACUUGGAAUUUCUUUAUGAUCAGUCCCCUGAGAGCAUGAGAAGCACAAUGGUUGCACUAUACUCCCUGGCAGCAUCAUUUGGAAAUUAUAUUGGAACAUUUGUGGUUUCAACAGUUCACAAGUAUACUGGUAUAGAGAGAAAUUGGCUACCUGAUAGGAAUCUCAACAGGGGAAGGUUGGAGAAUUAUUAUUGGCUGGUUACAGGAAUACAAGUAGUUAAUCUCAUAUACUAUCUCAUAUGUGCUUGGUGCUAUACCUAUAAACCAUUGGAAGAAUUGAUUGAAAGCAGUGAAGAUAUUGAUAUGGAGCUAGCAAACGAUAAGACAUCAACACAGGAUUCUAAGGUGAUUACUAGAGAAACAGAAUUAGCAAUACAGCAAACAUCUUAGGACGGGUUGUAUCAAUAACUAGUUAGAUGUAUUUGGUGGAAGCAUCAAUUACUUGUAUGGCUCUGCAUUGUACAUUUUAGUUCAAUCAGUGUAGUUCUUAUAAAAUGAUUCCAUCAAUUUGCCAUAACUAAGAUUACUGAAAUAGAAUCUCUGAAAAAACUGUUUCAGCUAGGCUGUUCUUUGAUAGAGUUUCUAAUUUCCUUUUAAGUGUUGGGAUCUUUCCUUUUGCGAGUUGAGAGAAGGUGCGUAUUGUAUUCGCGUCACAAAAUUCUGAUAAUUAAUUCGUUACAACUUUCAGAUGUAAAUAAUGUACAUUAUUUAAGGCCAUGUUCGGUUAGGAGUUUUGUGUUAACCAUUCAAUAUUUAUCACUUGUCUGAUAUCAUCUACAUCAUGUAUCGUAUAGUUGUUUGUUAUACUUUGUACUUAUUUUAUAGAUCUUACCCAUUGUACUCAUUUAUAGUGUAAAUAAAGAUGACAACAACCUUCAGAGUGAGCACAUUUCUUCUUCAUGGUAUCACGAGCAUUGCCAGUUCCUUGGCUUUUUUUAUUUUCUUUUUCUUUCAUCAAGAGUUCUCUUAUUAAAGAUAGUUCAAUCUCUCAGUCUACUAAAUCAUUUCUUCCUUCUCAAGUUCCACAGAUCUCCACCAUAAAGAACUCCACUUCUCUUGAAUUAACCUUCAUGAAUUUUCUUACUUGGAAGCGUCUUGUUACUACAUUUCUGAAAAGCCAAAAGAUGUUUGGUAUUGUUGAUGGAUAAAGUCUUUGUCCAAAUUCAUCAAUGAUUCAUAUGAUCUCUGGGUUCAAUGUGACACAACUGUACAUAGUUGGAUUGAUCCUACAUUUUCUCUUAAUGUUCUUGAAACACUUCUUAAUCAUGGGUGUGAAAGUGCAUGCAUAUACUGCAUGGAACACUUUGGAACGUCUCUUUCUUGAUCAUGAUGCAUCCACUAUGAUGGAUUUGAAACAUAAAUUUCAAAGCUUCACUAAAGGUGACCUAAAAGUGGAAGACUGUCUUCAACAGUUACACUUAUUGGCUUGUUCCUUCAUAACUGUCGGAAAUUCAGUAAGUUAUCUGAUGAUUAGUUAUUCAAACUCUUCAAGAACUUAUAUAUCACAAAAUCCUGUGUUCCACUCACGAACAAUGCAUAUUGCACUGCAUUAUCACUUUGUAUAUGCAAAAAUUGCUCUAGACUAUCUUCAGGUCUCUGAUAUUCCUAUUACUCGACAACUUGUUGAUAUCCUUGCUAAAAACUUCCAGCUGAUUAAUUUCAUGAACUUGCUCUAACAAAAACAACUCGAACGUGGCUUUUGGUUAUUUGUUUUCAAUUUGCUUAAUGUUCGAGCAUGUUUGGCUUUAUGUUGACAAGGGAAUACUCAGUGCAUGGAAUUAUGCUUUCAAUCUUGGAAUGACAUAGAUGAAGUUGAUUUUAUCAUUGUAUUUUAAAUUCUGUGCAUGCUGUAGAAAACUUACAGUUGUGUGUGUUGUGUUUGACCUUUUCAAGUUAUUGGGGAUGACAAAAGGAUCGUGCGCCCUACAAUUGCCGGUACAGAUAUUAAUAGAAGAAAUGUGGAUACAAAUAAUAAAUAUUAAAAACACCAGAGACUCGUAUGUUAGGUGUGGUUAACUGUUUUGUUGAAUGGACUGUACAAUUGCUGACCAAUUGCUCGGUGCAUCCAUGGAGAAGAUGUGUGUAAGUUCAUUUUUUUUGUCAACCCACAACAUCUACAAUAUUUUUAUUUUAAUUUAUAUUACAAGAGAGUUUUAGUGUCUAACUGAAUCAAUAGAAAUUAGAAGUAAAGCAACCUAUUUUCAAACUAAAAGGGUACAUUACUACUCACUCUCUACCUCCAGAUUUUACUGCAAAUGUAAAAAAUUAAACGUCGACAGUUUUUAAUGAGUACCAAAUUUUGUCAUGUUUUUACACGGUAGUGUUUUAAUAUCUGCAUUUGUUAAAUUAAUGCAUAUAUGAGAUGGUAUUACAGUAUUGUCAAAAUGGGUAUCUGCUUUGGAUCCCCCUCCCCCCUAAAAUAAUUAGCGACCAUAUUAGCUUGAGCGACAUCCUUUCUUUUCAUAUGAUAAGCUGCAAGAUUAGCUUGAGUAAUAGCAAGGGGACCAAAAUAAGACCAGCUAAAUGUGAAAAUUACAGAAUUGGGGUUUUUCCCUUUAUGUGUCAUGAUCCCUUCUGUCUUAUCGGCCCUAAUGAACACAGAAGUCAAGAAUUCCCACUUAGCAGCCUAGGUGACAGAAGGAGGGAGUGAAGUGGAUCAGCCUCAUACCUGAAUUCAAAACAAGUGAGAGACAAUUAUUUACCAAAUUUUAGGCUAGCAGCAUAAUUUUUUCCUUAAAAUACAAUGACAUGGUUAAAUUAACUUUAGAAUAGAAAUGUGUGCAAUCCUAAAUUUGGAAAAAUGGUUACCCCUAACAAUUGUUCUUGCCUUGUACCAUGAGCGUAAAUGAAGAUAUUAGGUGGUAAAUGCAAAUUUCUCUUCUUGCAUGUGGUGGUAGGGGCAGAAAAAGAGAAGGAUUGCAAGAAUGCAUGAGACCUUGAUUCUAAGGCCUACCAGUGCAUGUAUUGGUAGGUCGUGUCAUGGUUACAAGCAUAGUUUGCCGUGCUAUUCUCACAAGGAUCCACAACUUGAAAAAGCCACAAAGGGGAUUAAAAGGUUGAUUUUUCCUAGGAUGACAAUUGAUACAUUCCCAAACAACAAAAGACAUUCUUAAUUUCCUUUUAAAGCUAAAAUCAUUAACUACUAACAAGUGGGCCGUGUCUCUUUGUGCUUUUCUUCUUCUUCUUUUUUAAUAAAAAAAAGGUUUGAAUAAGUUUGGUUUGAUUAUCAGCACAAAUCAGGCAUGUACUAGAUCAUAGAUCGCUUAUAGGGGUGCUUAUAAAUUAUUCAUCAACAUAGUUUUCGCAUCGAUAGCAGAAUUCAAAUAUCGACAGUAAGAUUCAAAUACAUAUAAUCUUUUAUGAGGGAGUAAAGGGCCUCUACAAUUGCCAUUGUGGAGUCUGGUUUGUGACCUAGAUAUGGUCAUGCUCAAUUAGCUCAACCUCAACUAUUCGUAUAAAUAUUUAAAAGAAAAUUUUCUUUUCAAAAUUCACAGCUUGGAUUUAAGCCACGUUUAAAUCACCUUUAUUUGGGCAUGAAUUGUUCUCUAUUAUUGGCAAAUCACCAGCAAUUAAUGAUACUGGAUUGGAGUUGCUACCCUCAAAAUAAGUCAACAAAAUUCCAAGAUCCAACAUGUAUUGUAUACGUACUUUAAUCCCUUGAUACUUUCAAUUUCCUGCAGACAAUACUUCAGAUAUACAUAAUAUUUCCUACACAUCCGACAGCUUAAAUUUAGAAUGUACCACCAAAACCAUAUCCAAUAAAAGGAUAUCAUGAACACCUAUAGUACCAUUUCCAACUUAAAUCACACAUGCAACUUUUUCAAGCCGAUUUAUUCAGUCACAAUUGAUCAUUUCCUAAUGUGUAUUUCCUCUACAGAGUAAAUCGUACCCAAUGCUCAUAAUCAAAACUCUGAUAAUAUUAAAAAUCAUGAAAAUAUUUUAUUUCCUUUAAUCCUGUAUUUUUUUUUAUCUCAUUUCAAUACUUAAAAUCCCUAAUAUCUCCAACACUAUUUCACAUACUUUUAGAUCAUAUGACCUGAGCUCUGGUACUGCUAAAAAGUCAAAGCAAUCUCUUAUUUCUUUUGAUCUGGUUUUCCAUUUCCUUUCAAUUUUCAAAAUCAUUAAUAUCCAAACAUCAUUUCUCACACUUCCAGAUCAUAAAACCUAAACUCUGAUACCACUAAAAAUAUCACGCCCCGAGCCCGCACACGCCCGUCACGUGGCAUCCGCUGUAUCCUCAAGUAUCGUUCAAGAAUAUAAGGCAACAUCAUACUAUACUAAACUUUAAAAGUACUAAAUAAUAUAACUAGGUAAAGUGCGGUACAAAUGUCUAAAAAGGUAAUCUACGAAUAUCCAAUAAGUUCGUACAAUUAUCCUCAAAUCGAAACAACAGAAACGGAUGUAAAUAAACUAACAACUAGAAGUAGCUAGCCUGCCAACUUCUAUUCAUUUAAAGCUAAUAAAAGUCGUCCUCAGGGUCUUCUACGUAAACCAACUCAUAUUCUUCAAAAUCUGCAAGGAUGGUAAAAAGUGGGUUGAGCGACACUCGCUCAGUAGGUAAUAUCCACUCCUCUGUUGGACCAUGCACUCAUAACUUUAUAGAUACAUAUAUAUAGAUAUAAAUCAAAAUCAUUGGCACAUCGUUCACAUCCGUAAACAUGAAAGCAACAUUGUUUGUAAAACAAUCAGGAGUAACGAGUGACAAGUAAUUUAAAAGCAUCUUAUUAAUAACUAUACAUGAAAAAUCAUAAAAUCAUAAAACAUUUCGUAACAAUUCAUAAGUCUCUUCAUAUCAGUUUGUAAAUCAUUUCAUAUCAUCUCAUAACUCAUUUCAUAUUAGCUCAUAACAAGUAUAUGUAAUGAUCGGCUACUAAGCACUCAACCUAGAGAUUAAACCCCUUCUAGGUGGGCGAUCAAUAGGUUUCAUGACUACUGAUUGGUCUCAUUUCAUACAUUGGUCAAUGGGUCGGAUUUUAUACCAGACUACCAUGACCUUGUCAAUCGGUCGGACUUUAUAUCAGGCUACCAUGACUUUGUCAAUCGGCCGGACUCUAUACCAGGUUACCAUGAUCUUGUCAAUCGGUCGAACUUUAUACCAGACUACUAUGACGAUUAGACAGGACUAUAGCCCCUACUGUCUAUUCCAUGACCAUUUUGAGUUUUACUUGUCAAAAAUUCAUUUCAUAUGUCACAUAUAUAGAUCUUUGAUUUCAUAAAAGAUUUAGCUCGUUUGGUAUACAAUAAUGUAUCAAAAUAUUUCAAAUAAGUCACAUGGUCCAUUUUUGUAUAGGAAAAUAUAACUUUCAUAAAUAUUCAAACAAAGCAUUUAAUCAAAUACAUUCCUUGUCCACGCAACAAAAUAGUAUUAAAAACAAAAAAAAAAUUCAUUUUGCACAUUUGAAAUCUCAGAAGGGUAAGUACCACAUACCUCAAACUCCUCUCUUGAAGAGAUUCUUAAUGCGCCCUUAAACUUGUUUCAAACCUAUAGUCAAUAACAUAUAUACCUUAAUUAGUUCUCAUGUCUUACUCUCAAAAGCACUUAUUUCUUUCUUUAGUAACCCUAUAAAAUAUGUUUCGACUUUCUAUAAAAUAUACUUGAAUAGCUUCCUGAAAAAAAAAGAAUGUUUGCCCCUUCUCGAAAAUUUUCUGAUUUAUAAGGUUUUCCUUUAUAGAAAAUUUUCUUUCUGUUUAGCCCUGAGUUAAGUCCAUCCAUUAAAGAGUCUUGUUUAUUGGGUUUACAAUUUGAUUAGGCUCUUAAAAGCGUCAUUGGUUCAUUUAGUCAAACCUGAUUCUUGUAAAAUAAAUUCUUAGGGAUGUCUAGUUAAAAUUGGGCCAUUGUUAUAAAUUUGGACUUAUCUUUACAUUAUUGUUUUCGAUUAAACUUUGCACCUUUUGUAAAGACUUGGAAUUAUUCAAAGAAAAGAAAUGAUUUAGUUAAUAUUCAUUCCUAUUAUCAAACCUCAGGCCAUACUUAAUUGUACCAAACUUUAGAAGCUAUUCUGUAAUUUACCCAAAGAAAACAGUAAACUUUGAAAACUAAAACCAAUUCUACAAUGUUCUCCUUCCUCCCAUCAACUUCUAUGAUUAAUGACCCACCGCCGAGCUGUGAUUCAAUCAUGAGCAGGCCAAAGAAAUUUAGUCAUGUUUUAGGCGGUUUAUCAAAGAUGGUUUCUUCUUCUUCUUCUUCCAUUUUUUUUUCCUUAUCCAUGCUUCUAUUCUUCGUCAAUCCUCCAGCUCUUUUUUUUUUCCCCUCAAAGUUACAAUUCCAAUAGUCAUCAUCAUGAACAGUCAAAUUAAAAGCCGUUAACCAUGCGUAGCCAAAUUUACAAGAUUUUGUAGUCCGUGUGGUCUUAUCUAUGCUUUGAACUUGCUGAUCGAAUAUGUUAGUAGUUCCACUACUUCGGUCAAACAUCCUAGCCUCUCUCUUCUUUUCUUUUAGACAGAAAAAGCGAAGUAAAAUCCACUGGUUAUACUUAACUUGUCCAAACCCGAGGCCUGACUUGAGUAAAUGUUAAGCCUUAAAAUUUUUGAAUCUUACUGUCGAUAUUUGAAUUCUGCUAUCGAUGCGAAAACUAUGUUGAUGAAUAAUUUAUAAGCACCCCUAUAAGCGAUCUAUGAUCUAGUACAUGCCUGAUUUGUGGUGAUAAUCAAACCAAACUUAUUCAAACCUUUUUUUUAUUAAAAAAAAAAGAAGAAGAAAAGCACAAAGAGACACUGCCCACUUGUUAGUAGUUAAUGAUUUUAGCUUUAAAAGGAAAUUAAGAAUGUCUUUUGUUGUUUGGGAAUGUAUCAAUUGUCAUCCUAGGAAAAAUCAACCUUUUAAUCCCCUUUGUGGCUUUUUCAAGUUGUGGAUCCUUGUGAGAAUAGCACGGCAAACUAUGCUUGUAACCAUGACACGACCUACCAAUACAUGCACUGGUAGGCCUUAGAAUCAAGGUCUCAUGCAUUCUUGCAAUCCUUCUCUUUUUCUGCCCCUACCACCCCAUUUAAGAAGAGAAAUUUGCAUUUACCACCUAAUAUCUUUAUUUACUCUCAUGGCACAAGGCAAGAACAAUUGUUAGGGGUAACCAUUUUUCCAAAUUUAGGAUUGCACACAUUUCUAUUCUAAAGUUAAUUUAACCAUGUCAUUGUAUUUUAAGGAAAAAAUUAUGCUGCUAGCCUAAAAUUUGGUAAAUAAAUGUCUCUCACUUGUUUUGAAUUGAGGUACGAGGCUAAUCCACUUCACUCCCUCCUUCUGUCACCUAGACUGCUAAGUGGGAAUUCUUGACUUCUGAGUUCAUUAGGGCCGAUGAGACAGAAGGGAUCAUGCGAAGUUCCAACGAAUCAUGACACAUAAAGGGAAAAACCCCAAUUCUACAUUUAGCUGGUCUUAUUUUGGUCCCCUUGCUAUUACUCAAGCUAAUCUUGCAGCUUAUCAAACGAAAAGAAAGGAUGUCACUCAAGCUAAUAUGGUAGCUAAUUAUUUUAGGGGGGAGGGGGGAUCCAAUGCAGUUACCAAUUUUGACAAUGCCGGUCCGUAAUACCAUCUCAUGUAUGCAUUAAUUUAACAAAUGCAGAUAUUAAAACACUACCAUGUAAAAACAUGACAAAAUUUGGUACUCAUUAAAAAACUGUCGAGGUUUAAUUUUUUGCAUUUACAGUAAAAUUUAGAGGUAAAUGGUGAGUAGUAAUGUACCUUUUUAGUCUAAAAGUAGGUUUCUCUGCAUCUUAUUUCUAUUGAUCCAGUUAAACACUUAAACUCUCUUAUAAUAUAAAUUAGAAUAAAAAUAUUGUAGAUAUUGUCGAUUGACAAAAAAAAUCAACUUAAACACAUCUUCACCAUGGAUGCACCGAGCAAUUGGUCUGCAAUCGUAUAGUCCAUUCAACAAAACAGUUAGCCACAUCUAACAUACGAGUCUCUUGUGUUUGUAUCCCUUUAUCAUUUGUAUUUCUCUAUUCCUUCAAAAUGUGUGAGCGAAUAAAUUUACAGAAUUGAUAGGUGAGGGGACCGAAACUGCAAUUUGCCCAUAAGUAGAAGCAAUCAUCAUAACCAGAGAAAACCACCUUUGACUGAAGUUAAUGGAAAGUACACUAGCGUAACUAACUGCUGCUCACAGCUAUUAAAUGGAGGUGUGCCAGAAAGGCAGCAGCUCCACUUCCCAUUUCCACCUCAAAACCUCAAAUCAAAACAAAGCAGUAGUUCCAAUAUUCAUAAUCCUUCCCACUCAAAUUAGUUACUACUGCUCCUUUGCUAUUGGCAAUUAGGAAGAUGUCAAGGCGAUCUGGGGCGAAGGUAUUUUAGCUUUCGAGUUUGGAUGGUUGAUUAGGAAAUAACCUUGUUGAUUUUAAAGUGUGGCUAGUACGAACAGUGACAGAUCCGAGAUCUAACUGUGAUUUGUUAAUGAAGCAUUGUGCAAAGCUUGUCUUCUUGUUCUUUCGUGAUUUCUUGUCAAGCCCUUCUCUUUGUUUGCCUGGUUUUUUUAUUUGUAUUGCAGAGAAACUCCAGAGUCGAAACUGUUGUUUUAUUCACAUUCUUUCUUUUUGAGCUAUUCACAAUCUUUCUACUUGAUGCUUUUAUCUUUUUUCUUGCAGGUUGAGUGCAAAGAUGGUUGGUGCAAGUGAUCUCUCUUGCCUCUGUCUAUCUUUAAUUUAUCCGCUUGUUUCAUUAUAUAUUAUUUGAGGUAGAUAGAUCCACCUGUAUAGAGGCUGCAAGAUUGGUAGUUUGGGAAGUGAUUUGCUGUGCUGCAGUUAAUGUUGUUGAGUCUUUUGUGCUGUAAGAACUCUCCUCAGGGCACCCCAUGAACUGCGAGUACUAAUGCCAAUUUGUUUGAUUAGUGAUGCACAAUUGCACAAUUGCAGCUGAAGACUUGAGACCUCACAUACCAAAUGGAUAAUUAAUUCGAUGAUGAGUUAUGGUACCUAAUAGAUCAAUGUUCCAAGUUUACUUGGAAAUUCAUGUGCAAUCAAACUCUGAAGAAAAAGACAAUCAAGUUCAUAAGUUUUCUAAUUUGUGUUUUGACAGAUCAUCCCCUUUGAAUGGCAUCGGAUGAGAAUCAAAGUGCUACCUUAUCUUCGUUGUGUUUUUUAUGCAUUAGAAAAGGGAUAAUUGCACAAACCUCCCUUGAUGUUUCUAAAAUUUUCACUUAGCACCCUUUAAUUUAAAAAAAAAAAAAUCAUUUGUCUUCCCUAUUUUUAACUUUUUGUAACAUUGACAACCUUUUACAAAACAUAAUAUUUAAAAACUCAAAUUUUGGAUAGCGGAGUUAUUUUCAUUCCAAAUGUGCCCUUUGUUGUCUUACUUUUUUUUUUUUUCUUUCAAAAUUGAAAGCAUGUAAUAAAAAGCUAAAAAUAAAACAAACGGUACAAAUGUGUAAAUUUUGAUUGAUACAGUAUAAUCUUAGAUAUUUUAAUGUACCAAAAAUUUAUUUUAAUAAUAUAUUCAAAGUGUUUUCAAGUCAAAAAAGAUUGUUCCUUUAUUAUAAAAUGCUUUUGGUUAAUUUGAGGAGCUUUUCAAAAUUUAAAAUUUUUUAACAAAAUUUCUAAAUUCCUUGUCUAGAGUGAUGGCUUGUAAAUCAUAAAAAAGGCAAAAUAUUUAUGUUCGAAAAUGCAUUUGAGGUUUUCUCAAAGAUCGCAAAUUAUAUGAAAUUAAGGAUUUAAGAAUUGUGUACAAUUUUUUUUGAAUUUUAUAAUUCUUUGACCAGAUCAAUGGCUUGAAAACUCGAAUAAGAUAAAUUCUUAACUAUAAAUUUAAAAACAUAUUUGAGGUGUUUUGAAGGUGAAAAAUGCUAUUAUUUUCAUUGUACAAUUCUUAGGCAACUUUUGUGAAUUUUCCAAAUUACUUAGAUUUUCAAAUUUUUAGUAGAUUUUUUGUGCAGACUAAUGACGCAAAAAUUAUUAAUAGGUCUUUCAACCUUGUUAACACUUUGCAAUUCCUAAUUAAAAAAUCACAUUGGCCAAGUGUUCAAAAGUUAAGAGAUUAACUAGUUUUGUUAUGUCAACAAAAUGGUUCACAAGAGAAGGGCAAAACACUGAAAUGAAAUUAUAUUCUCUAUCUACAAUUGAGUGUUAUGCAAGUGAAGGCAAGUGAUUUUUAAAGUUUAAAGGUGCUAAGUGAAAUUAUCACAAACUCAAGGGAAGUUUCUGAAUUUAUUCCUGAAAAAAAUUACGUCGGGUUUGCGGAGACCAAUAAGUACUGAGUUUAGUGAGAUCUCAAGUUGCCUGAAGGAUGGACUAUCAUUGGCAAUCGGCAAAUAAUGCAGUAUGGCAGGGCAGUUGGCUGACAUGUUCAGAGCAUUGCUGCGAAGUAAAUUGAAACGAAGGGAAAACCUUAUACGCAGGCAAGAAAGUCAUUAUCCGUAUGAACAAUAUAAUCCAAAAAAGAAAAACCCAAAAAGAGUUAAUCCAUUUUAUUUUUUCUCCAGAAAAAAUAUUAACCUAAGAGAUUAUUGUCAAGUCAUCAUAUAUAUAUAUAUAUAUAUAUAUAUAUAUAUAUAUAUAUAUAUGCAUAUUUUGGGGAAGAUUUCUCUUGCAAUACUUGUCUAUCUAAGGAAGAGUCACGCAUUCUUAUAUGUCCUGCUUCGCCAUAGUAAAAAAAGUGAUUGUUCAUAUCAACAAUAGAAUCUGAAAAAAAUGAAAAAGAGUUAAUUCUUUUUAUAUUUUUCUCCAAAAAAAUAUUAACCUAACAUAUUAUUAUCAAAGCCAUGUCCUUGUGUGCGUGUGUAUAUAUUUUUUUGGGAAGAUGUUUUUUUUUAUGUUUCUCUUACAACACUUACCUAUCUAAAGGAAGAGCCACGUGUUCUUAUUUGUCCAGCUUCGGCCAUAGCCAAGAAAGGGAUUAUCCAUACAUUAAUAUAAUCCAAAAAACAAAAAAAAAAGUUAGUUCUUGUUUCCUUUUAUUAUCCAACCAUGUCCUUGCCUUGUAUAUAUAGAUAUAUAUAUAUAUAUAUGUUGCAUUUUUCUGUUCCUCUUUACCACACUUGCCAAUCUAAGAAAGAGCCACGUGUUCUUGUUUGUCUUCGACCAGAGCCAAGAAUGCUCAAAACCAAAUUUAAAGCAGAAGAAGACGGAAGGAGCUUUAACUUUUAGGGUGCGUUUGGUUCAACAGAAUUGGAAUUGAAUUGGAAUUGGAAUUCUAUAGAAUUAGAAUUCCAUGAAUUGGAAUUCCAAAACAUUGAAAUUCUUUUGUUUGGGAAAUGCAUAGAAUUGAUACAGAAUUCAUUUAGAAUUCCAAAUUCUUUGUUUGGAUGGGAGAAGAAUUCAUUACAAUUAGAAUUGUUUCCAACUAACAUUUCCUUACAUAAAAAAUUUCUUUUUUUUUACUAUAUAAUAAUUUUUUAACAUUUAGCUAAUUGUUACUAAAGCUUUAAGGAAAAAGCCAAUUAGUGCCUUUAAUAAUUUAUUUUUUCUUGCAUUUAACUAAUUGUUACUAAAGCUUUAAAGAAAAAAAAACAAAUAAGUUCCUUUUCUGCAAAAAAAAAAAAAUUCUUGUUUUUUUUAAUUAAAUUAUAUUAAAUAAAAAAUUGCUUCCAUUCCCACUUUUCAUGCUCGUAACCUUCCAUUUCCGUUUCAGGCUGGAUAAGAUAUUGUUUCCCCAAUUUUAUGAUAGCACGUAGAACUAUAUUAAAGUAUCUUCCAACUGUCUCACUUGAUCUUAUGAAAUUAAAAUUGACAGUGCGAUUUUUAAAGUUAUGAGCAAGAACAUAGAGAAACAUUGCAACUGCUUCUUCAACAGUAAUAUUUCUAGUAUCCCUCAACCCACAAUGCUCUCUUAAAUUUGUACAUAAAAUAGUAAAAUAAUGUUUAUUGAGUCGAAAUUGCUCUACACAAACUCUAUUGUUUCCAUAGUAAAGACGCCUUAGAUAUAUUUCAUGUGCCUUAGAUAUAUUUCAUGUGCUACUUUAAAGUCCAAAUAAGGCUCCUUUACUAUAUGUUUCUCAUGCCACCAAACUACUAAUGUGGCUACUGUUACCAUAUAAUUUGCAACUACCACUUUUCUCUUUUUUGUUUUUUGCUCGUCUCCUUCCUUAUCGAUGUCAAUAUCCAAAUUCUGCAAUUCAAAAUCACGACAACAAUAAGAAAAGGUAAGUCAAAAGACCAAAUUUUAAAAAGUGAGUCUGUGUUAAAUUCUACAUAGUCAAUUGAAGCUAAAAUGAUAGCUAAAUAAACCUCUGACAUAAUAAUCUGCAAUAAUAUUUUUGCCUUUCGUGAAAUAUUACAUUUACAGCUUGUGAAUACAACUAUUGACAGAAACAAAUAUAUUGGCUUAUACACCUUUAAUACUUUAGAGAUCGCUUAGGAAUUAGCUUUAGUAUUACAAUUUUGUAAUUCAUUAGUUUGUGCAAGUUGUUGGUAAACAUAAUUAUUAGCUUCUGUGAUUCAUUGCUAUGAUCAGGUUAGUGUUUCGAUUUGGUACUGCCCACUUUGCCUUGGAAAAUAAGCUUGGGAAACUAUUACACUCAAUUCUGCGCGUUACAAAACAAAAGAUUAAUUAUCUUCCCCUUGAAACUCCUCUAUAUGUGUGUGUGUGUGAGAUAAAGAUAGCUAUUUACAAUUUCCUAACUAGCAAUGAAUUGCAGGGAAGGCCCAACUGGAUAACAAGCACACCAAAGCUUCUUAAAAAAAGCCAGAAACUUUGGUAUUAUUCCUGCCUAUUUUGCUACAAAUAUGUCAGAGUAAGGCCAGAUUGGGAGAUUAAUUGCACUUCCUACCAAUAACGCAUUCAUGUUACACCACAUUAAGAAUACUGUGAUAACCAUAAGCUUUAAAAUAUGCUUAACAAUUGAUUAUAUAGAGAAACAUACACCAAAGAACUGCAGGACAACUGUUCUAGUUAGUGUCAAAAUUGAACCAUUAUUACCAGGCUCAAUAGUUGAAAUAUGAAAGCCAGAGAUAGAGCUAUAAUUUUCACAUCAAAAAACCUAUUCACAGCAUUCUAAGCACUUGAAAAUAAAUACCUUUAUAAAUACCACACAUACAAGGAAGACUGGAGUGACGAUCUUCAGCCUUUAAGCAUGUCCAACUUCAUGUCAGCCCGCAACUUUGCUAUCAAGAAGAAUGCACCGACCUCACUUUAAUGCAGGACAAGGUUAAACAAGCCUUCCUGUAACAUAUUAGGAACAAUCAAACACAUUUAAAUAUACAUUAAGAGAGAGUGUGUGUGAGAAUUUAUGACAGCAUUAAAUAGUCCAAAACACACAUUCAUCACAUUCCAUGUCCAUUGACGAGAAGUUAGCAGCCUUGAGACGAGACAUAAAAAUUUUUCAGGCCCUGACCCGACAGCAAAUUUUUCCUUUAAGAAAAGAAACAACAAGACAACAAGAUAAAGUGCUCUAUAAAUUGAAGACAAGCAACCAUUGUAAAGCACAAGUGCAGGCAAGCUUUAGCUAAACAUGUCUCUGGCCUUUGUCAGGCAAUACAGGAAGUUCAAACAAGGUUUAGAAAGCUUUUAUUUUAAGCAAUGAACAGAUAUGAAUUAUAAAACUUCACCCUAGAAUUCUUCAAAUUAUCUAAAAGACUCCUAGUAGGAUGAAUUGUUGCUGAGGUAAAUGACUCUGUAUGAUUAAUCAUACAGAGGAGGCAGGGGAAUAAACGUAUAUAUUUUGAAAAUUUUGUCAAAUAAAUUUGUUGCAUAUGACCUGCAGAGAUUGAGCCCCAGAGAUCCUGAACUGCCCUGUUGUUCAAGAUGGCGUCCCAAAUAGCUUUCUGCAGGCAACAGGUUAUAGAAUUGGUUUCAUUAUCAACCAAACCAAACCCCCCCUCUCUUCCCUUCCCUUCCCUUCUUGGCUAAUCAUAAUUUUCUUUUUUUUUUUAAGCAAAAAAUAAUUAUGUGCUAGAAAGAUGCUGGAAAGAUUAAAAGAUUAUUCUGAUAGUAGAUUAUUUUGAUGCUGGAAAAAUUAAGAAACAACUCUUACCAACUUGGCUUGUUAUUUCCUUAAUAUGAUGGGUGUUUAGCUCGAACCACUGGUACUCUAUUCGAGGUUGCCAUGUGUUAGUACAUCUUUAGGCUCAAAGUUCCGCACAGGCCAUUUCGAUUUGGGGCAAUAGUAGCGGCAAAAUCUCAGAGACCAAAAGGUGUUCCUCUGCUGUUGGAGGUCAACUUUGCGUUCGCAUUAUCCUUCCUGGGUGUCUCACAAGCCCUAAAUGUGUCUGAAAUUUGGGGUGGACGAGUGGUGAGAGUGGCGAAGGAUGGAGGAAGUGGCCAGAGAAAUGGAAGGCAGGGGGGAAGACGGUGGUGGGAAAGGUAAGAUAUUAGGGUUGCAGGUGGAAGUGAUGGUGGAGAGCAGAGCACUAGCGGCUGAGGAAAAUGGUGAGUUACAUAGGUAGAAAGGGGUGCCAAUAUCCUUUGACCCGAUUUUAAUUUUUGACCCAUACUAGAUCCGCGUGUGAACCCAUUUAGUUGUGGAAUUGGAAUUAGAAUUCUUUUGAUCGAGUAAAGAAUUCAAUUCAUAGAAUUGGACUCCUAUAGAAUUCAGAUUCAAUUCUAAUUAAGUGAGGGAAGUAGAAUCCAAACAAUGGAAUUGGAAUUAGGACCCCAAUUCCAAUUCUAAAUCCUAAUUCCAUAGGGAACCAAACAUACCCUUAAGAACAUUGGCUUGCAUUGGAAAUAAAAUGGCAGUUUCUUAGACGUUGGAACCAGAGCAUGACCAUUAGUACAUUUUUAGUUGUUGGGAGAAAUAGGCUUUAGCUUUUUUCCAAGGCUGCACUUGCACCAAAUCAUUUCAGACUUUUAUUAAAUUUAACACGCAGAAAUUUAAUCCCUCUUUCACUAAGUACUCCUGGAAGACAGCAACAAAUCACCCAAGUUUUAAAAUGUCAGCGAUCGUAAAAUUCUUCACGGUGACUUAGAUAGCAAGUCAAUAAUGUUGCUACACGAGCCUAGUACGGAGUAUAUUACAAUCCCCAGUACGUAACGUAAUUGUACAACAUUAGCAACGAUAGGUACAAUACAUAUAUAGUACAUUGUUGUUUGGACUCCUAUAGAGCAGGAUAUUAAAACCGAACAACCCAUACCGUCAGCAAACUAAUCGAAGUGAAGUCAGCUCCAUGAAUUUCUGUCUAUCUAAUGUGAUAAUUGACCGCACCAGUAAAGUUCCUUACGGGCAUUUUCUUUGAACAUAAGAAGCUCCAUGUUCCUCGAACCUGUUAAUCAAGAGACAAAAGACUUAAUAUGGGGAGAAAAAAGGAGAAAAGUUUGAGUAUUGAGAGGUAGAGUGGAUGCAAAAGCUUACUCAGAUUUUGAAAACCACAUUUGCUGAAAGGAACCAAGUGACGCCAAUAUACUCCCACCUAUCCAAACACUGAAUGCGACAAGUUAGUCAACGCUUGGUAUGCUAACAUGAAUGCAAAGAAAUAUCCUCUUCAAUCAUAAAGCAGAAGCAAUUUGGUCCAAACAUGCAACUUCGGAGGAAGCACUGAGGCAAGGAAUGCAGGAAUGAAACAAAAGCAUAUCUGCCAGUUACCACCAUGAUUUACCCUCUCCAUAUGGCGAAUUCCUAAGUGACACGUAACAUCAAUGCUGUAACCUAAUGGCUUUUCUAUUGAGCCACCUCCCAAAGAGAUGCCGAUUUAUGUAAGAAUUCACAAUGUUCAACCAGAAAAUUUGGUGCUUGAAGAAAUGAAAAUAACAUGGGAAGGAAAGGACAACAGCAAUCUACAUCCACCCAUCAACACAAGCAGAAGAUAGAACACAUUGAUUUCCUUUUUUCAUUUUUUUUAAUUUUUUUCCCAUCAAGCAAGUUAGUCUACCUGAAUCUCCUUUCCGUUGCAUUUCCACUUGCCAAAACUUUCACUCUAGCUGCUUGAGGAGAUUCCUGCAAACGGUAGACCCAGACAUAAGAAAAAUCUCAAGCAUUAACUAAAACCACUGGACAAACUUGAAUUUUCACGUUGCAAUAAGCUGUGUAUUCUCUCAACAUUAAGCAUUUGAUAUCAGAAAUAACCAGAUAGCCGCAUGUCUGAUCUUUCUUCCUUCCCUUUCUUUCAUCUUUUCCUUCAUCACACAACUUUGGGCUUCUGAGUUUCCUUUUUAUUUUCCCUCUCCUCUUUUAGGGAGAGUACCAGAACAAGGACUUCUUUUUCUUUUAAAUACAGAAAUCUGACUGAAAAAAACCUACCUCUAGCAAAUCUUUCUCCAGACGUUCCUUUAACUGUUGCAUGGAUGCAGUGCCACCAGCAAGCUGUGUAAGGUUGAAAUCAAAUCAGAUACUAUAUGAUCCACUCUUCUAAGUACAAGAUAUGUUUCCUAAAGACAACACAAAAGGAAACUAUGCAAAUACGAUGAUCUGGGGGACAGAACAGAAACUUGAGUGGAAGUCAUCAUCUUUAAGAGUCAUUGAGCUAAACAAGCUUAAAAAGAAGUUAGCAAAAGCUAAAUAUAACAGCAGGAAUCCUUGAUGUGCAUCUGCACUGGAAAAAGGACAAAAAAUAAUAUCCUGCUACUAUAGGAAUAUCAUCAGAGUGAAAAAGUAGAAAUUAAGUGAGAUGUCUGAGUUUGUGGAGAGGGGCAAAUUUAUUGGGACACAGCCAAUUUAUGCAUAAAUACUAUGAAGAGAAUAUAUGGGAAGCUGGAAAUCCAAGGAAAAAGGGGAACAGCUGCAACAUGAAGCACUACAUACAAGGUUUACCUCACUAAAAUUGCAGAGAUUUUAGCUAAUCAACAGGGGAAAAAAUAAUUUACUGUCGACAGAAAAAAAAAAGUCUAGAUAACAGCCUUAUACAUUUUGGUGUAAUUAAGGUACUUAUUCACAUUGAAGGGUUGAAAAUUUACCAGUAUACUGCUGAAGAGUUCUCUCCUAAUAUCCACAUCACACUUAUUUAUGCUCUCCAAGACCUGAAGAAUUUUAGAAGGAUAUAUUGUAAAAGUAAAAAGAGAAUAAUGGUAGCUAGAUCCCCAGCUCAUGGAUAAAAGUGCAAAAUGACAGGAAUUACCAUUUGUGGCAGGCCACGAACAGAAGAAACAGUCUCGGCAAAAUUCUCCAUACCAGGAAUAGUCUGACAGAUUAGAUCAUGUCAGUAAAUGGAAUUUCAAAUCAAACCAAAAGCAAUCAAGAGAAUUCAAAAUGCAUCAUAUGUCAAAAAAACUCAUCAGCAUCAUUUGUCAAAAUCCAUCAUUUGUUUCUCUAGUUAUUUGAUAAUUUGAACCAAGACAGUAGAUUAGUUAAUCUAAACUCAUCAGUAUAAAGGUCUCUAAAAGUAGCCCAAGCAAUGAGGCAUAUGUUUAGGCAAUUCCGGCCAGUGCUAAACAAGUCUAAUAUAGCAGCAAACCUCAUCGCCUCUUGUCUUUAUAAGCAAGAUUUAUUGGACAAUGAAUGUCCCAACAAAUGAUGAGAAAGACCUCCUAAAGGCCAGAGCAGGAAACUGCCACAAGCCCUUACUUAAUUCUUUGCUAGAUGUGCAUUUUCAGACCAUCUUCAUUUUCCAAUGGCAAUUAAUAAAGUCCUAAAAGCCUAGCCAAGAAAAGGAUAUCCAUGUUGAGCCAAACAAUUUGAGCUAUGAUUCUCCAACCGUGCAUGGUUUACGAGAUCUGCAUACUUAAGAAUAUUCUAAUGACGCUUAAAUUUCAAAGCAGAGAAGAAGGGUAAAAGUUUAACCUGCAUACGUUACGACAAGCUCCACAUGUUCUGAGAACAUGAAAAUAACUAAAUCCAAUUGGAAGAACUUUUAAGGCUGAAAAAUAUAAAAUUACAAAUCUAACUAUAAGCUUCAACUCUUAGGGCGGAGAAUUGGUCAAACAAAUUUAUAAUUUUUAACAUGCAUAUCAUUCAAGGAUUAGAUUAUCUUAGUAAGCUCGUGCUGUGCAAUAUAUAUAAGUUCAGGAUACUCUACUAAUUUUAUGUGAUGUAGAUACUUAAACUAUUUGUCAAGUCAGUGAAAGACAAACAUGAUGAAAAUCAUAGGGGAGAAGGGAGAGUCGAGAGGUGAAGCAUAAUGCAAAGAAAAAUACAUUUUUUUCUUUCAAUCUGGGAUACAUGUACGCUAUACUUCCCCCUUGAGCAAAAGCACAAAAAUCUCUUAAUACUAAGCUCAAAAUAAUAGCACGUAAAAAAAAAUACUCCAAAAGGCUUGCAGAUUAUGUAAACCUGAAGAGUCAAAUUUGCACUCAUGAUUAUAAAUGGAAAAGCGGCAUAGGAAAAAGUUUCAAAACCACCUGAGCCAAGGAUGGGUUGAAAAGAAUAUCAGGUGCCUUGAAUCUGUCGGCUCCAAUUUCUAUUGUCCUGGAUUAAUAAACAAUGAACUUAGAUGAAAAGGAAGUGCCAGUAAGAAAAUAGAAGUACAGAGAAAGCUAUGAGAUGCGGUAAGACCUAGAUUAUCAAUGGCCUUGUUAUAUAUCACCCCAGGUAAAUCAUGAAAAAGUUAAUGGAACAAGAACAACUCAUUAAGAUGUUGUCGCGCCCCAUUUUUUGAUAAAUAAAUAAAUGAUUUUAAAAAAUGUAUUUUUUGAUUGGAAAAUGAAUUGUGAUUUAAAAGAAAAAUGGGUCUAAAUGGGGGUUUGAGAAUGCGACGAUUUGACCCAAAAUUAUAGUUUAAAAAGGGUUUUAAAAAAUUGGAGUCGCCACUUGGUAAUGAGUUAAGGUGUACCAAGUCACCAAAAAUGAAUUUUUAAAGAAAAAAUAGGAAAAAGUAGUAAGAAACCCCUUUUAAACGACUCCUAGUCCACGUAAACCAAAGAAAAAGGUUCGGGAGUCACAUUUGACAAAGGGGAAGGCAAGGAUAAAAUCCAAGGCACCCCUUCGACCUAGCCAAGGCUAGUUGCGUGAUUUAAUCAAAGAUUUUCUUGUUUUAACCAAAGAAUUUAUUACAUUUGGAUGUGCUACAUGAAUGCAAACCCUAGACCUAGGGGUAUUGGGGGAAAUUUCUCUUCAACGGUUGAGUGGUGCCAAUCACAUUAAUUGUGAAGCCCAAUAACAAUCCUUUGAAGAAGUCACGAAUAAUGCGAGUGGGAUGCAAAUGAAUGGAAUGCAUGUAUGCAAUGUGAGGACAUGAGUUUGAAAAAGUAAUAAAAGACAAUAAAUAUGUAAAUGAAAAUGUGCACGUGAGUGGGUAAGGUACGGUAUGUGAAAUGAUAACAUGAAGUGCAUGUGUGCAAGUGAUGAUAAAAGUGUUCGCGUGCAAGUGAAGAAACAUAAAGGUGCACGUGUGCAAAAUGGGAGGAAAAGUGUUCAUGUGCAAGUGAAGGGAUAAAAAGGUGUACGUGUGCAAAUGGGAGGAAAAGUGAAAGUGUAAUGAUAGAGUGGACUUAGAAUGCAUGAGCCUAGGGAAUUCAUGCAUAUUGGGACGGGGAGACCUAAAUCGUGACUCAAUUUGCCCUUUUAUAGAGGGAAUACAAGCGUGCUAAGGCUUAGAAAAAGCCACACUCGUCUAUAUCCCAUAUUUAAGGGGACUCUCAAGCAAAUGAACCCUAUAACUAGCAUGAAAUGCAAAAAUCCUAAAAUGAGGGAAAAGGGGUUCGAGGAGCAUGCUAAAUGAUAAAACUAAAAAGAAUGCAUGACAUGUAAUGAACAUGCAAAUAUGUACUAACGAGGGGAAGUCCCUAAGGGUCUAGCGUUGGACUAGCCCAUUCUAUGAAUUCCGACUAGCGUUGGACUAGCGGAAACGUACAUUCAUCCAUCACAUUCAUUCAGGGAUAUGGAAAGCGAGUAGACAUGUCAAUCACAUAGCACAUAACACUUAACAUGCAUAUCUAGAUGCCAAAACCUAAGAAAGCGAUUAAACAUAUAGCACAUAGACAUGCAAGACACAUAAGGUAAUUAAGGCCCUAACUAUUACAUUUGCUAGCUAGGCACAUGUCUUCAACAGAUCUUCAUCGAAUGCUCCUCCAAGCCCUAUCUAUUACAAACCAAGAGGUGUACACAUACCCCAUAAAGAAUAACUUAAAUAAAAAGCAAAAGUAAAUGAAGUAAAUGAAAGAAAUUAAAGAAAGGCUAGGAAAGCAACGUAAGCAUGCAAUUCACACUUAGCACGUUGGAUCACAUAGGAGAAAUGAAAAUCAAGGAGAUAGAGGUUACCUCCCUUGCAAUUGGGUCUCAAUGAAGUGAAAUUAUUCAAUUACCCUCCAAAAUAAUAAAAAGGUCAAUGCACCACUUUAUUUAAGAAAAAAUAAAAGAAAUGUGCAAAACAAAGCUCACUUAGUCAUAAAGUCCCUAAAGUCAUAACUUAAGCGCAAUUUAAACAAAGCAUAGUAGUUAAUUGAAGCAAACAAGCAAUGAAGUUGCACAAAUUAAAAUUAACAAGGACCAAAUUGAUGAAAUUCUCUAAUUGAUUGGGUCAUAGUGAAAUAAGGGGGAACUUGGGGGGUCAAAGUGCAAUUUUUAGAAUAUAUUUCAUGCAUGCUACGUAAAUCUCUUUGUUUUGCUGGUUCCUUUCAUCUGCAACAUGCUAAACUUCUCAAAUACAAUCCUAAUAUGCAACUAACAUCUCACCAAUCAAUCAAAGCCAUCGGCAUUAAACUAAAAACUAACACAGAAUUCAACAAGCCAACAAAUUAUGAUAAGAUAAUGUGAAUUCCAGCAAUCUUUCAUGCAAACUCAAGAAGAUUUCUGCAAACGGAAAGUGCAAGCUUGCUACAUUUUUGCUUCUACAAUUUUUACUGCAAUGUUCAUUCCAGAAUUUUUCCUCUCUGCAGCGUUAAGCUCUCAGAUGCAAGUUUCUUCAAACAAAAAAACAGCAACGACCCUCACUCAAUCACCAUGAUACUAUGUGUGAAAGGAAGAUUCAGACCAAGGAAAAACAUUGAAAUUUCUGGUUCAUUCCAAGUUAUCUUAAAUCAAGAUUUGCUGCUGCAAUUUCGUAAGCAAUAGUACCAUUUUCUCAGCUCAAACAUCAGGAAUCUAAGCAAUGAAAUGCACCAUUUUGACCUCCAAAUAAAUAGCAAAGUGAAGCCACAGAAACACAAUCCUUUAAACAAAACAGUUCUGAGGAGUCUUUCAUGCAAAAACAUGCAGCCAUGUAAAGACUUAGACUUCUGCAACAAAAGAACGAAACAUGCUUCCUUUUGUUUUCCAAGUUUGCUGCAAUUUCCAGCAGCUACUCUAUCCAUUUCCUCAUACAAACACAUUCAUCAAAACCAGAAAUUAUUGACCCAAAUCAAAAGAUGAGGUUUUGUCUGCAAGAUUAAGAUAACCAAUCUGGUUUGAUUGGUAACAAAAGAAAGAAAGGAAACUGCAGCAAAAAUCUUCUUUCGACAACCAAGGACUAAGCAAAAAUGCUGGUCUCUACUACUAAACUCCCAAACACUCUCACAACAUCUCAGCUGAGCAACGGACAAAUCAAGCAUUUCAAACAACAUGAAAACUUCAGCAAACGAAAGUGAUGCCUGCUGCAUUUUUGUUUCCUAAUUCAAGCUUCCAAUUCGAACACCCAACUUUUAUUAGAUAUUUUCAACUCCAACAUCACAGCUUUAAACUAAGCAAAUUAACUACAAAACCACCCCAAUCCAAACAAACAAAAUCCAGACGGAAGCCAUGCAAAAUUCUGGAAAAUAUGUGUGCAAGAGUGAUUCAGCAAUCUGAAAUGGUCCUAGACUUCUACCUCAAAACUUAGUUUAAAACCGAACCACAACCCAAAGCUGGAAACCUUCGGCAAUUUUCCUCCGACCAAAACACUAACAUAUAAGAUACCAACUCAUUUCCCAAAUUCCAGAUUUAUUGGUAUUCAAACAAAAGCCAUCAUUCAUAUUGGAGCAAAACAGAAUCAGUACACGGCAAAGAAAUACGAGCAAACAACUAAAGAAGAGAGCUUUCAACUUUAAAAGGAAAAUACGAUACCUUAAUCAAAGAAUGGAGAAAGGGCUCGGAUGAUUCGGACAACCCUUCAAAGAAGCAUCAAUGAAGAAGCGAUGGUGAUAACGCAAUUACCUCCUUCUGACCCUUUUCCUUUGCUCCGACGAACCAGAAAUCUUUUCUUCCUUCCUUGCUCCUUGUGGUGGUUGAAACUUCUCAGCCUUUGUUACCCAAAACCUCCCCUUUUUCUGUUAAACCCCAGCUCCUUCUAUCUCUCACGCUCUUCCUCUCUCUUGCUCACUCCAGAUUUUCCAGCCGCCCCUUUUUCUAGCCGUAAAACCCUCAAAAAUUUUCUCUCGGUUGUUUUCAAUUUUCCCUUUCAGCCCUCACUUUCUUUGGUCUCUGCCUCUUCCCGUUUUCUCCCUCUACCGUCGCCCCCUUUGGUUCCGAUUUUUCUCACUUUUUCUCCUUAGACUCCCUUUCUCUUAGCCCGUUAAUGCUCUCCCCAAAACCUCCUUCAAAAGCUGCGUUUUUCUAUCCCUUCCCCCCUCUUGCGGCUGUCCCCUCUUUUUCUAUUUAUACCAGAAACCCCCUCCUAAACCCUUAACAACUUCCUCUGUAUUUGCAGCUAAGGAGCUGCCUCAAAGUUCCUUUGCAAGCUGCAAAAACGCAGCUUGCAUGCACGAAGCUUUUUUUUCUUUUUUUUUAACUUAAUAAAUACAGAAUAUAAAUAAUAAUAAUAACAAAAUGACAAAACCAUGUAAUAAUAAUGAAAACAAAUAAAUAAAAAAAACAAAUUAAACAAAUAAAAACAACAAAAAUGUCCAUUUUUCAAAUUUUCUUCAUUUUUCCUUUUUUCCUUUUUUCUUUUCUUUUCUCAAAAGAACUUAAUAAAAAUAAACAAAAUGCCAAAAGAUUGAAUUUAGAAGAAAUAAAACAUAUUUUGUGGGCAAUUUUCUUUUUUUUCUUCUCUUCUUUUUAUUUUCAUUUUCAUUCAUUUUCCAAGAAAUUCUAUGCUAAAAACUUAAAAAUAAAAAUAAAACUAGAAACUAAAAAUAAAAAUCAAAUAAAACUAAAAUGAUAAAACUAAAAAUGUAAUUACACCAAAAUUUGGUGUCUACAGAUGUGUCACUUACAGAUUCUAAAAAUGUCUGUAUCCUGUAAAAAACUUUCAAGAUAGAAACAAGGCUUUAAUUACAAAACUUACUGUCCAUCAGGAAGCUCAUAAGAUGUCAUUGGUAUGUUCGAGUAUGAACUAUCUGAAAAGAACAAAAGACCAAGAUUAUUUGUAAGUGUUUUUGUUAUUGCACUACAAUUAACAUGAUGAAACCACUAUAAAUAGGAGCACAUCUUACAUGAUCAACUAAUUAUAAUGCAUUAGCAAGAUUCCUGAACAAAGAUAGGAAGGAAGUCGGCAGUGGGUCUGCCGGAUUAAAUAAUAAAGCAAAAGAUUAUGGCAUGUGCUAAAGAGAAGCAUUAGGCUUUUUGUUGGAUCAUGACGACUUGUAAUACAGGAAUGUUUAAGUUUGCUCUAUCCCUGCCAAAUUUUCACAAGUGAUAUUAUUGGUAGCUGCCCUUGUUCAUGUAGACUUUCUAAGUGCUCAGACUUGGCUCUUACUGUGUCCAGGCUCUCCCCUGAAAAAUAGUAUGUACACUUUCUAUACUCUUCUAUCCUAGGUUAUAUAUAUUCCCAAUAAUGAGUCAAUAAAUGCAAGAUCAAAUGAAGUUCAAACAAUGCACCAAAGCAGUACUAACCAUCAUAUGGAGUAUCAGGAGCUCGACAUACACAUUCUUUGAUAUCACUAGCAAUUACUCUCUGUUAAAAGAAAGUCACAAUUAGUAGCAGAAGAAAAAAGGGUACAAGUACAGAAUAAAUGUAGAUUUUGGUCAGUCAGUAACCUGGCAAUAGAGUUUGUAACUCUCAGUUGUAUUUGGAAAAUCAAGAUCUACUGUCUGUAUGACUCAAUGAACAAUCCAUACAAUGUAAUAAGAACCACAAGCAUAGUAAUCAGUAAAAUCAGUACAAUAUUAAGCCUUCAGAGAAAAGAAAGUAGAAAGUAAUUACAUUAGCUUCAGUUUACAACCUUGUUUAGUAUUUACUUUAACAGCAUUGCCUAUGAAAUACAUGAGCUUGUAAAAUAGUAAAUAUCUGUAAUCACUUGAUUCCACACUGGAAAUGUCAAAAAUAUAACCAGUAAGCUUUUCCAUUGUUUAAGCUUUUAAGAAGACUUGCUAUUUAACAUCAUAAGCGUAGGUUAAAGGUACAGCCACCGCAUGCUUGCACUUCAUACACCUGUUAAAACUAAAAUAAAGGCCACAUUUGUGGAGCUUUUUAGAGAUAAAAAUAAAGCAGAUCGUUCACUGGAGACCAGAUUAGCAUUUUGCAAGGCUGUACAAUGAAAUUGUCGAAGAUAUUAUCUCCUAUGAUUAUGGGAGAUAUUAUCUUCCAUAAUUAUCUCCCAUGAUUAUGAGAGAUAUUACCUCCCAUGAUUAUGGGAUUUUAUUGCUUAUGAUCAAUCAGGUUUGAAUAGAUAGGAUAUGAGUUGAUUAUGUAAUCCCUAAAAUCAUGGUUCUAUUACCUUAAGUGGUGGCAGAACUAUGAUAGGGUUGUCCUAUAAAUGCCUACCUUGUAAGCAUAUUUAGGUGUGGGAAAAUAAAGAAAAGUAGAGUUUUUUGUUCAUUUUUCUUUUCUUUUAAAGUUUACAUGGUAUCAGAGCUCCGGCUCUGUACCAAUCCCUGCCAUGAACUACCGAGCAGCCAUGACUGGAUCGACUGCUCACACAAGAGAAGACUCAUCCUCAUCUUCAGUAGUUAUCCAAACUACAGAUUACUCCGCUUCAAAUUCUUCUUCCCUACAAAUAACCGUUCAUAAAUUAAAUGGUUCCAAUUAUCUGGAAUGGGCUCAAUCCGUAAAACUGGCUAUCGAUGGCAGAGGUAAACUCGGCCACCUUACUGGAGAAAUUCAACAACCAGCUGCUGAAGAUCCCAAUUUGAAGAGAUGGCAUUCAAAGAACUCUCUAGUUAUCGCUUGGUUGAUAAACUCUAUGGAACCAGCGAUAGGAAAGCCACACUUAUUUCUGCCCACAGCCAAGGAUGUGUGGGACGCUGUCCGGGAUAUGUAUUCCGAUAUAGAGAAUUCGUCUCAAAUUUUCAAUCUCAAGACGAAAUUGUGGAAAUCAAGACAAGAAGAUAGAGAUGUUACAACCUACUACAAUCAGAUGGUAACUUUAUGGCAGGAAUUGGAUCUUUGUUAUGAGGAUGAAUGGGACUGCAGUGCAGACAGUGUUCGAUACAAGAAACGGGAGGAGAACGACAGAGUCUAUGUCUUCUUGGCCGGACUAAAUCAAGAACUUGAUGAGGUGCGAGGUCGUAUUUUGGGCAGGAAGCCUCUCCUCUCCAUUCGUGAAGUAUUUUCUGAGGUCAGAAGAGAAGAAUCAAGGCGUAAGGUGAUGCUAAAGUCCAAGGCAGAGGAUGAAGUUGAGACUUCAGCAUUGGUUUCUAAGGGGACAGAUUUGGACGGAGAUAAAAGAAGGAAGCCUUGGUGUGAACACUGUAAAAAGUCGUGGCACACAAAGGACACGUGCUGGAAAUUACAUGGGAAACCAUCGAAUUUCAAGAAGAAAAAUGGAGGUGAUAGCAAGGUGUUGCAGACUGUGAAUGAGGAUUCUCAAAAGCAACAAAUUGACUCUGAGACACCAGCCUUCACAAAGGAACAAUUAAGCCAACUAUACAAACUCUUUAAGUCUCCACAAUUUUCAGUCACUGAGCCAAAAAGCUUCACUCCUUUCUGUUCUUUUGCUAAAAAUGGUAAUCCUUUUACUGUUGCUCUUUCAUGUAAAACAUCAAAUGCAUCUUGUCCACGAAUUGUAUGGGUUAUUGAUUCUGGGGCCACUGACCAUAUGACUAGUUUGUCACAAUUAUUUUCUACCUACAGUCCAUGUGCAGGCAAUAAAAGGGUCAAGGUUGCUGACGGAUCAUUAUCCGUCAUAGCUGGCAUAGGUUCCGUUGUCAUCUCUCCUACUCUAACACUUCAUAGAGUUCUUCAUGUUCCAAAGUUAUCAUGCAAUUUGCUGUCCAUAAGUAAAUUAACUAGGGAUCUCAUGUGUCGGAUUAAUUUUUUCCCCUCUUUUUGUGAGUUUCAGGAACUGACCACGGGGAGGAUGAUUGGAUGUGCUAGAGAAAAUGGGGGACUUUACUUCCUUGAAGAUGGAUCAGAUAUGACAACACCAAUCAAAAACACAUGUUACGGGUCUGUCUCUAUUACUAGUAAUAAAGAGAUUAUGUUAUGGCACUUUAGACUAGGACAUCCUAGUUUUUAUUACAUGAAAUACUUAUUUCCAGAUUUGUUUAAGAAUAAAGAUUCAUCUUCUUUUCAAUGUGAAAUCUGCGAAUUGGCUAAACAUCAUCGGUCUACAUUUUCUAUACAUCCUUAUCAGCCCUCAAAACCGUUUUUUCUAUUACAUACUGAUGUUUGGGGUCCCUCUAGAAUUUCAACUUCAUCUGGAAAAAAAUGGUUUGUUACAUUCAUCGAUGAUCACACAAGAGUUUGUUGGGUGUAUUUGUUAAGAGAGAAAUCAGAGGUUGCAAGUGUGUUUCAAAAAUUCUACAGCAUGGUUUUGACACAAUUUCAAGAAAAAAUCAAAAUUGUUCGGAGUGACAAUGGAAAAGAAUAUUUCAAUAAAAUUUUGGGAAGUUUUUUUCUUGAAAAAGGGAUUGUGCAUCAAAGCUCCUGCAAUGAUACCCCACAACAGAAUGGGGUAGCUGAAAGAAAAAAUAAACAUAUUUUAGAAGUGGCGAGGGCAUUACUUUUUUUCAAGAAAUGUUCCUAAAUAUCUAUGGGGCGAAGCAAUUUUAACUGCUAUAUAUCUCAUAAACAGAAUGCCCUCAAGAACCUUGAAUUUCCAAACUCCUCUGAAUUUUUUCAAAACAAUUUAUCCCAUGUCUCGAUUAGCAUAUGAAGUCUCAUUAAAGGUGUUUGGGUGCAUAGCCUUUGUUCACAAUCAUGAACAAGGUCGAAGUAAGUUAGACCCUCGAGCAAGAAAAUGCAUUUUUGUUGGAUAUGCACCCACGCAAAAGGGGUAUAAAUGCUUUGACCCCAUUUCGAAAAAAAUGUUUGUAACCAUGGAUGUAACAUUCUUUGAAAAUAAACCUUUCUUUGGAGAUCCUCUUCAGGGGGGGACUCGGUAUGUAGAAGAACCUGUAGAAGAUGAUGAUGUUUUUCGUAUUGAAAAUCAAAUUUCUGAUCAAAAUUUUGUUGAUAGGAGAAUUGAUUUUUCUGAUUUUUUAGAAGAAUCUACAGCACAAUUUCCUCAACAAGAAUCUUUUCAAGAUAAUAAUCCUGAAAAAUCAAAUGACACUCUUCAAUUUGCCCGUCAAAAGGAUUUUGAAAAACGUGAAAAAAUUGAUCAGGGAUUAGAAGAGGAUCUCUUGUCUUUAGUGCCAAUAACAGAGUCGAAUUCUCUUAGUGAAAGAGAUGGGAAUGUAACUGAAAAAACCUUGACAACCUACGUCAGGAAAAAUCAUCGAGGAAAAGAUAAAGCUCCCCCUUCUCUUCACAACAAGGAAUCCGAACCUAGGGCAGUUUUUGAUGUUUUUGAGUCAUCAAAUAAAGUUUCCUCUGAUUCAAAGAUUGCUGAUCUGGAUCUUCCUAUUGCAUUUCGAAAGAGAGUGCGUUCUUGUACCAAACACCCUAUGACUAACUAUGUCUCUUAUGAAAAGUUAUCCCCUACCUUCUUGACAUUUACUUCACAACUUUCUUCUGUGGAAAUUCCAAAGAAUGUACAGGAAGCAUUACAAGUUCCAGAGUGGAGAAAGGCUAUUGAAGAAGAGAUGUAUGCUCUUGAGAAGAAUCAAACAUGGGAAGUAACAAACCUGCCACAAGGGAAAAAGACGGUAGGGUGUAAAUGGGUCUUUACCAUCAAGUAUAAUUCCGAUGGGACAUUGGAACGGUACAAAGCUCGAUUGGUGGCUAAAGGGUUUACUCAAACCUACGGGAUCGAUUAUCUUGAAACUUUUGCUCCAGUGGCAAAAUUAAACACUAUUAGGGUGCUUCUCUCAAUAGCAGUAAACCUUGAUUGGCCACUCCAACAACUUGAUGUCAAGAAUGCAUUUUUAAAUGGUGAUCUGGAGGAAGAGGUGUACAUGGAUUCUCCCCCUGGAUUUGAAGGGAAGUUUCAGUCUAGAGUUUGCAAGCUAAAAAAAUCGUUAUAUGGUCUCAAACAAUCUCCUAGGGCCUGGCUUGAAAAAUUUACUAGGUCGGUAAAGGAUCAAGGCUAUAUCCAAGCUCAAAGUGAUCACACCAUGUUUGUUAAACACUCCAAGGACGGGAAGAUAGCAGUACUCAUUGUGUACGUGGAUGAUAUCAUCCUCACAGGAGAUGACUUAAUUGAGAUGGAACGGCUGAAGAAAAGUCUUGCUUCUAGCUUUGAAAUCAAAGAUUUGGGAACACUACGAUAUUUCUUAGGGAUGGAGGUAGCUUGGUCCAAGAAGGGCAUCGUUGUGUCCCAACGCAAGUAUGUUUUGGAUCUUUUAAAGGAAACAGGGAUGAGUGGAUGUCGACCUGCAGACACUCCUAUGGUCCGUUUGGAUUGAGUGUUUUUGCACCUGUUUUUGAAAAAUUGUUUUUCACAUUCCAAAUGCUACAGUAAAUGUGUAUUUCAAAAACAAUUUCAAAAACACCAUAUCCAAACAAUAUAUAAAAAACAACUCCAAAUAUAUUUCAAUUAUGUAUAUUUAAUUUGUAUAUUUUAAUAAGUAUAUUUCAAUUUGUAUAUUUUAAUUAUGUAUUUUAAUAUGUAUAUUUCAAUUAUAUUUUAAUAUAUUUUAAUAUGUAUAUUUCAAUUAUGUAUUUUAAUAUGUAUAUUUCAAUUAUGUAUAUUAUAUAUAUUAUAUUAAUAUAAAUAUAUUUAUUUCAAUUAUGUAUAAUAUUAUAUAUAUUAUAUCAAUUGAAAUAAAUAUUAUAUAUUUAUAUAAAUACAUUUAUUUAUAUAUAAAUUUAUAAAUACAUUUAUUCAAUUUUGUUUUAUAAUAUAUAUUAAUAUAUAUUAAUAUGUAUAUUUCAAUUAUGUAUAUUAUACAUAAAUUAUAUUAAUAAUAAUGUAUGUUAUAUAUAUUAUACAUUUCUAAUAUUAUAUAUUUAUACAUACAUAUUAUAAAUAUUUUAUUUAUAAUAUAUUUUUAUAUAUUUAUAAUAUAUUUACAUAAAUAUUAUAUGUUAUAUAAAUUAUAUAUAAUAUAAUAUAUAAUAUAUUAUACAUUUAUAUAAAUGUACAUUUAUACAUAAUAUAUAAAUAUUUAUGUAUAUUUAUAAUAUACAUUUAUAUUAUGUAUAAUAUAUAAUAUAACACAUUUAUACAUUUAUAUUAAUAUACAUAAUAUUAAUUUUACAUUUAUACAUAAUAUUAAUACAUGUAUAUAUUUAUAUUAAUUAUAUUAAUACAUUUCUACAUAAUAUUAAUAUAUAUUUAUAAUUUAUUAAUUUAUACAUUUAUAUAAUAUUCAUUUAUAAUUUAUACAUUUUUAAUAAUAUACACUUAUACAUUUAAAUAUACAUUUAUAUUAUGUAUUAUAUAUAAUAUAAUACAUUUAUACAUUUAUAUUAAUAUACAUAAUAUUAAUUUUACAUUUAUACAUAAUAUCAAUACAUAUAUACAUUUAUAUUAAUUAUAUAAAUACAUUUCUACAUAAUAUUAAUAUAUAUUUAUAAUAUAUUAAUUUAUACAUUUAUAAUAUUCAUUUAUAAUUUAUACAUUUAUAAUAAUAUAUACUUAUAAUUUAUAAUAUAUUUAUAAUAUUCAUUUAUAAUUUAUACAUUUAUAAUAAUAUACACUUAUACAUUUAUAAAUAUAUUUAUAUUAUGUAUUAUAUAUAAUAUAAUACAUUUAUAUAUUUUUAUAUGAAUAUAUAAAUAUAUUUAUUUAUAAAUAUCUAUUAAUGUAUUAUAAAUGCAUAAAUGCAUAUUUAUAUAAAAAUAUAAAAAUUAUAAUUUAUAAUUUAUACAUUUAUAUAAUAUUCAUUUAUAAUUUAUACAUUUAUAAUAAUAUACAUUUAUACAUUUGUAAAUAUAAAUGUAUUAUAAAUGCAUAAAUGUAUAUUUAUAUCAAAAUAUAAAAAUUAUAAUAUUCUAAAAAUAUUCAAAAAUAUGUUUCAAAAAUACCUCUAAAAAUAAUCCAAAAAAAUCUACAGAAAAAGUUUUUCAUAUAGUUUUUGAAAAACAACUAAUCCAAACGGACUUGUUUUUCAGAUUCAAAAUGCUACAGUGAUGUUUUUGAAAACAAGAUGAAAUAUUGAUACCCAACACUAAUUAAAACAUGAUGGACGGUGAACUAAAAUGUCUUAGUGGCAGACACAAUUCUAGGUAAAUUUCCAAUGGAGUUUAGGCUAAAGUAAAUUCGUAAAAUGCAUAAAUCAGAAAAUUGAGUCAGAGCCUUACUUGUUCAAGGUGUGAAGAUGAAAGAUUAUCCAUUUUCAGAAACAGGCGCCUUAGGGUAAAGCCCUUCGCUAUCACUAAACCCACCCUGGUGGUCACUUUUGUCUAAGCUUCCACCACCGUUACUCCCAUCACCUCCCUCCCGACAGCUCCAUCGCAAGAAAACGUAAUCGGCCUCUCUGAAAUCAUCAAUAGGACUCCACUUGAGGUAAGGCUUAAAUUUUUUCCGUUUUCUUUAAUAUGCCUGUAUAUAUAUGUCACCGGUGCUUCGAAAUAUUAAUUCUUUUUGCAAGCUUUAAGUCGAUAUACUUGUUAUUGAGCUCUGCAAUCGGAAAAUCAUUAUGUUGAAUUAGAAUUUUGUCUACUACUAGGUUAUCUUGUUGCAUUUUCACUGGAUUUUGAAAAUAUACUGCUUGAUUUCGUCGGCAUUAUGAACAAUAUACUGGAAAUCUUGACCUUGACACAAUUGAGAUGCAUAUCAUCCUUAUAUGGUAGAGAUUUUACUUCACUUUUGUGUGGUUCAUAUGGAGCAGACUCGAAAGUGUUCUAUCAAAUGUUUGAUUAAUCUUUUCUUUUCUAAGAUACUAACCGAAUUCAUUACCGUUUUUGAAUUUGAAAUUGGUUGCGGAAUGAAUUCGGUUAUGGGCAAUUUGAAAUUGAAAACGGUUUAGAUUUCUAUAAGUCGAAUAACCGAAUUCAUUGCACCGAAUUACCGAUUUUGCACCGAAUGCACACCCCUAUUGAGGAUAAGAAGAGCAAUUCUUGCAUAACAGAUUUACAAAGUUCUUUUAUUUUCCACUAAAUUGCUAAUUUCCAAAUGUGUAGAAGUUAAAUUUGGGGAUUUUAACUUUUUAUACCUUGGAUGCUGAAUUUCUUUCGAAAUGAGAAUUUGUUGCCUGAGAGCGAGCUAGAAUAUUCCGCUGAGGGAGCUAGAAUGAAGUUGCUAAACCUUAUAGAGGGAUACAUGUUGGAAAAUUCUGUUACUCUCUGCAACUCUGCUCAUUUAGUUUUCCUUUAUUGUGCAGAGAAUAGGACUAUAUGCUGCACUUCACUGUAUAAGGUCUUGUGUCUGGUGAGAUAAGAGCCCUAAUAAGACUAUAUCUAAUGACAAAAAUGAAAUCUCGCACCAUUUGGAGGAUUUUUCUUAACAGGCUGUUGAUGAGACCUGGGCUUUUGAAUCAUGACAUCACUGAAAUAUAUUUUCUUUUCCUAAAUGAAAGAAUGUCUAAAUUAGGCUCACAAUUCUUACUGAAUAAACAUAUUGUUGGUUUUUCCAAGCUGAUAUAUCCACGCAACGCCCUAUUUUGGAAUUCCUAAAAUGAUACAUUCUGAUGUGUUGUGCUGAUUCUUGAUGAAUAAAGUAUCAAGUGGUUAUUUUGCCUGUCAUAUGUUUAACUCCGCUUGACCUGAUUGGAAUUAUGACUCGUCUGGAAAUUUAGGAUUAUAAAUGAAUUCAAGUACCAUUUUGCUACUGAACUACUAUGAGCCAUCUGAACUUCAACUUCUAUUUGUUUUUUGGUGGUGCAAACAAGUGUAGAGUUCCCUUUUCUCCUUCUAAUAUUAGAUCAAUAGCUGCCCUGCCUUCAUUAACAUGACAGAAGAAAUCCAUACAAAAAUCUACAGUAACAUGACAGAUAGGGGUGAGCAGAUCCGGUUCGUACCGAAUUCAUAACCGAUUUCAAAUUCAAUUCGGUAAUUUGAAAUCGGGUAUUUGGUAAUUCGGUUCCAAUUCGGUGAAUACCGAAUUCACCGAAUUCUAAUAUGGUAUAAAAUAGGUAAUGAGAUUAUGAAUUUGGUAAUAACCGAUUUCGAAUUCAAAAUUCGGUAAUUGAAAUCGGGUACCGCAUUACAGCAUUCGAAUACCAAAUUGAUAUAUAAAAUUAUAUAAUAUAUAGAUAAAUGCUAUUUAGUAUUAGUAUAUACUACUAAUACUUUAUUAUAUUAUAUAGGUAAAUGUUAUUAAUAAUAAUUACUAUAUGGUAUUAUUAUCAUAUCAUGUACUUAUAAUACUAAUAAUAUAUAAUGAUGUACAAUAUAUUUAUAUUAUUUUAGUAUUUAUUAAUUGUUAUAUGACUACAAUAAUGCAUAGUAAUACAUUACAAUAUAAGAUAACUAUAAUACUUAUUAUUUUAUACAUGAGUAACAUGGCUAGAAUUAGAUAAUAAUUAAUACAUAUAUGUAUAAUACUAAAUAUUAAACAAUAAACAUAAUUAGUAAUUAGAAUUUAGAUAUUGGUAAUUUGAUACAUCAUUCAUGUUUGAAUUAUUGAAUAUUUGAAUGCGUAAUCUAUAACUUGCAAGUAUUAGUGUACUCUAAAUUUACAUUACAUAUUCACAAAUCUUAAGGCUUUAAGUAUAGAUAAGACAACUAAGCAGUGUAAGUGAAUGUACAUGAAUUGCAAAUCAAUGUAUUAGUGUAUUGACUUUCACAAUAACAUAUGUAAAUAAAUAAGUUUAAUUUUGAUUUGAAAUAAAUUAAAAGUUUGUAACUAACAUAACUUAUCACUAAUCAUUGUAAUUUGUAAGUUUGUAACUAAUAUUACUUAUUAUUAAUCAUUGUAAAUUAUAAAUUCAUAAAUUAUUACUAACCAUUGUACAGUCUAAGGUUUAUUAUAGUUUAAAUUAAUCACUUUUUAUGUGUUCCUUAAAUCAUAGACUAAGGAUUGUAGGUAUAAGUGAUCAAAUAAGUUAAAAGUUCAUAUUAUCUAUUUACUAAUCUUAAAGUUUUAAGUAUAGACAAAAUAACUAAGCAGUGUAAGUGAAUACAUGUGAGUUGCAAAUCCAGUAAUUAAGUUUUAUUUUGAUUUGAAAUAAAUUAUAAGUUUGUAACUAAUGUAACUUAUCACUAAUCAUUGAUUCAUUGUAAUUUGUAAGUUUGUAACUAAUAUUACUUAUGAUUAAUCAUUGUAAAUUAUAAAUUCAUUGUAACUACUAACUAAAUUAGUUUAAAUUAAUAACUUUUUAUGUGUUUCUUAAAUCAUAUACCAAGGAUUUUAGGUAUAAGUGAUCAAAUAAAUGCCAAUUAAACCACAAAAUGAUUUGAACAUAAAUAAUGUGUUCAAUUAUGAAUAAAUUUGGGGAUCAAAUUAGUAAUAAUUUUUAAAUCAUUGAGGAGCAUAAUGAAUGUAUUAUAAUUUAGGAGCCCUAAUUUGUAAAUUUAAAAUUACAAAAUCACUUCAUUUGGAAAAAGUCCGAUUUCAUCUUCAGCUGAUGAAAAUUGAAAAGUGAGAAAACAACCAUUGCAAAUUUGCAAUAUUGCAUAGUGCCGUGACUGCCGUCACCUACGGCUUUCACAGCACUAACACUCCCAAGUCCCAAGUCCCAAUUCCCAAAUCGAAGCUGCUCUCUGCCUCUCCGGCCUCCGCCAGUCCGCCGCGCUCUACGUCUCCUGUUGGCUGUGUCCUGCCGUGCUGGUUCAUCUCUGCCGAGUGUCGAAGACGAAGCACCAAGAUCUCACUAGUUCAUCGCUGGUUCAUCACUGCUCAUCUCUGGCUCACUUAGGUAAGUGCUCCUCUGUUUUUGGCUCUGUGUCUCUGGCAUUAAAAUGGGCCAAGAUCGACUAGGAAAUUUGUUAUCCUGAAUUGAUAAGGGGACGAAAUCUGAGCUUCCAAUUGCAAACUCUAACUGUUGUAGUAGUUUAGAUUAGGUGUGAUAUAACAUAAGCUUUGUAUUUUAUACACAAGAAGCUCUCUCCAGUUGUGCAGCCUUUAAAAGUUAAGGCCUUGGGGAAAAAUUCCACCUUUUACCCGUUAGAAAAAUUAUAAAGAAAAAAACUUGCUAAAAUGAAAAUUUUACCUCCUUGUCCGUGGAGAUUCUCAAUCUCUGGUGCACAUCUAGUGAAAGUACGGCUCCAGAAGUUGUACCUAGGAUUCUGGAUAUGAAUUUUCUGCAAUGUGUAAAAGAGAAACAUCUAAUGGCUUGCGGGGGUUGGUAGUUGCUGAACUAUAAAGAUUGGUUUAUAUAUUCUCUUAAUUUGCUGCAGGUUUUUUUUAAAAUAAUAGAUGAAUUCGGUUAGACCGAAUUCAUUACCGUUUUCGAAUUUGAAAUCGGGUACCGCAUGAAUUCGGUAAUGCCCAAUUCGAAAUUGAAAACGGUUUAGAUUUCUAUAGGUGCAAUAACCGAAAAAACCGAAUUCAGCGCACCGAUUUACCGCAUUUGCACCGAAUGCUCACCCCUAAUGACAGAUGAAAGUUUUCAAAAUGUUAACCUUGUCAAGUUGAUCAACUUCUGUUUUCCCAUUGAAUAGAGGCUGCUUCGCUGAGCCAGAUAAAAGAUUUUAAUUAUCUCAAGUAAAAAAUACAAUAGUGCAUAAAACUACGCUCACCUGUACCACAAAGUAACCACCAAGUUAGUAUAUGGUUUCAAAGGACGUGCUAAUCCAAAGUCACAGAUCUUCAACUCACCACAAUUAUUUAAAAGCAUAUUUGAUGUCUUUAAAUCUCUGUGCAAAACCCAGUUAUCGUGAAGAUACUUAACACCCUCAAGGAAUGCACAAGGCUUUGGGAAUUAACUCCACUCUAGCUAAACGGUUGUUUCAUUGUCUCCAUUAACCCCUUUAGAUCUUUUGGUGACAGUUUCAGUUCCCAAAUACGAAUAGUUUAGACAAUUGGACAUGUAAGUUUGAUAACUAUGUUAACUGUGUGUGUGUUAAUUGUUGGAUAUUGCUCUUAUGUUAAUUGUGGUUUACCAUUUAUAUCUUAUUCUGUGCAUAGGUGUGUGUGUCUUCUAUAUAUAGAACGAAGCUCCGAAAACAAAGAAAGCAAAGACCAAACUCCCCAACCAAAUCGGAACUCCGCCCAAUUUAGCCUUGCAACCAUGUACGGCGGAGGUAGUAUCGUUCUAUCUUUCUCUUUCACGUAGAACACACACUUACAGGCUCAGGCACUCGCUAGCACAGACUUCACUAUGUACCAGUUUAAAUUUGUUUAAUUUAUGUGCGUUUUUCUCUGCUAUGUAUAAAAAAAAUAGAUGAGGUAUCAGCUAUAGUGGUGGACUUAGGCUCACACACUUGCAAAGCUGGUUAUGCUGGCGAAGAUGCUCCCAAAGCCGUCUUUCCUUCGGUAAGCCAUUGCUAGUAGUCUAUUUCAGCUCAAUAUAUUUGCGAAUUUACUGCAUUUAUUAUCAUGAUUUUGCAAUGUGGCUAGAAUUUUACUGUUCUGGAGCUGAAUUUUUCUCCAAGUUUGAAUUUUUUGUUUUACCUUCUUUUGCACCUGAUUUAUGUUAAUCUCAUUCGAGUUUCUUCUCAAUUUAACCAUUAAAGUUUGAUUUUGAUAGUCGUCGUUCUUCUUUUUCUUUUGGUCCUCGUUUGUCAGAUGUGAACUUCUUACACUGGGAGAUUUUAAAGGUUGGAACGUGGAAUCAUGGUUACAAGGAACUGAACCUACAGUUUAAGAAAAAAGAACUAACUAUAGGACAGACCAACCUAAGAAGUUGAUUGUGAACAUAUACAGGGGGAUUAAGUUGUUGUGUUGUUUUACUUUUGCCAUUGUGGAUAGUGCUAAUUUUUCUUCAAUUUACUUUCUUUUGCCUCUUUAAGGAGAAUUUUUUUUGACAAGGCAGUCGAAUAAAAUGGAUUUUAUGCAUGGAAGGAAAAUUGAAGUGCCAACUUGCUAUAGAUUGCAAGGGGAUCUAUGCUAAAGAUUGAAGCUUUAAAUGCCGCCCAUAUGGCAGAAUUAUGGACUUCACUUUUCUGAUAUUCACCAUAUUGCUACACGAGGGGUCUUUGAAGGAUAAGGGUCUUGUUUUGGUAAAAUGAUGCAUCAACUAUUUGAUCAUUUAUCAGGUUGUUACAUUGGUUCUAGAAUCUUAAUGAAGACUUCUCUUUAUCGUGAAUGUGAAGCUUGAUGUAGAUUAAAUACAGGAUAACUGAUGCUUCUAAAACAUACUGGUGAAUGUGGCGUCUAAUGGAUGCACAGUAAACAGCUGACAUAAGAUUUGUAUUGUUUAAGGUUGUUGGAUCAAUUGAUCAAAUGGAAGUUGAUGAGCCGGAUAAUCCAGACAAGAAUUCUGGAUCUGUUCCAGAUUCUAAAUCCAAGGCUAAGCGAAAGUUAUACGUAGGAUCCCAAGCCUUGGGAUUCCGCCGGGAUCACAUGGAGGUCAGUCAGAAGAACAUCUUUUAGAUAGGUUUUGGCUUGCACAUUUAACCUCUUUUCUUAUUGAGCUUGUGAUAUUCUAUUUUCUCAGGUCCUAUCUCCAAUUAAGGAUGGGAUAGUUGCUGAUUGGGAAAUUGUUGAAAGCAUAUGGGAUCAUGCCUUCAAGUAAUCAAAUUUGCAUAUUCAUUUUGGUUCAAAUUGUAUACUAAGCAUAUGGAAUCUCUGUGCUGCAUCACCUGCUUAGUAGUUACAAGGGAUGCAACAAUGGUUUGCUUACUAAAUGGAUCAGACCUUAGCAAUAGGGAAAAUUCAUGAAUAUCAUGUUGGCAGGGAGUAAUAGCCAAUUCAACUUAAAUAAUUUCAACGCAUCCAGCUCUGUUCAAAUUUUUAAUAGUUUGGUUCUCAUCUUGCAGGUCAUAGAUAACAUAUGUAACUAAUCUUGUACUUCUUCUCAUCGUCAGAGUGUCAGACUGAUACCACU
rnacentral:lncRNA from 1 species